CAUCUCUCCCCUAACAAAAUUCAGCUUUCAAAUAGGCACCUCAUUAGAUCAACAUAGUCUUUCACUCAUGUGUCCAUUGUUUCAACUUUAUAAUUACACUCACAGCAUGAUGACAGAGAAAAGAAGACACCAUUCUGAAUAGUGAGUAAAGACACACUUCCUAUAGAGGAUGUUAUAUUUUUGAACCUAAAAAUCUUGUGUAUUUACCAACUGUUAACUGCUCUAUACCAUGUCAACUGUGAAUGGGCUGCACUCAUGUGUGCACUCCAGUAUUAACAGAUUUGUGAACAAAGCAACCAAGUUCUCCUAAAAGCACACUUUUACAUUUUGGCCAAACUACACCAAUAAAUAACAUACUUUUAUUUGUCAGCCUCUUACUGUUCUGCAUAAACCCAUUUAUAGCCAUAUUUUGUAACACUCUGUCACAGGAGAAGCUUCUGUUGCUACACCCCUCAGUUGGCACCGACGCCUCAGGAUUGCUCUCGACUCUGCCCAUGGUUUGUAUAACUAUAUGUCCAAAAUUUUAUUACAGUAGUAACAAAAUCAUCAUGAUUUACAGGACUAUUACACACAUUGAUGUCCUGACUUGAUACACAUACCAGUUAAACCUAGCAAAACAUCAUGCCUCUGGCCAAAUUUGGCUAGUUUUUAGCCUAAUCCGUCGUAACCUGUUAUUAUCUACUUAUUGGUCAUGCAUACAGGAUUGGAGUAUCUACACAAGUCCUGCCAACCGCCACUGAUCCAUAGGGAUGUGAAGACAAAGAACAUCCUGCUAACUGCUGACCUAGAGGCAAAGGUAUCCGACCUUGGCCUCACGAAGGUGUUUCCAAACGAGUUCAUGACCCAUAUCACCACCCAACCAGCAGGUACACUGGGGUACCUUGACCCUGAAUACUACAACACAUCCCGUCUUAGUGAGAAGAGUGACGUUUACAGCUUUGGAGUUGUACUACUGGAGCUCAUCACCGGCCAGCCGCCAGCAGUCGCAGUCAGUGACACCGAGAGCAUCCACAUCGCCCAGUGGGUGCACCAGAAGCUCUCGGAGGGUAACAUCAAGAGCAUUGCCGACUCGAAGAUGGGGAUGUGUUGGAUCAAAACACAGGGAUCGCACGACACAAGUACCGCGUCGAGUACUUUCCGACGAGGCCUCACUUGCGAAGGUAGUUGCUGGUAAUCACCAAUUACUUCCGGCAAGAUGCACACGUAUACUAGUAUACGACCCAAGAAAUCAGUCAGCAACUAAGCUACUACUCACGUCGCGCACGCAUGAGGCAAAAACGAUUGGAGUUUGAUGGCCACAGGCACGUAUCGUGCCUGCUCUGUUUUUCUAUUUUUCUUAUUUUCUGGGGUUAGAGUUACAGGGUACGUAUACCCAUAUAUUUAUACAAGGCAAGGUCCAAACCGAAUAGAACUAGCUAACUGAAUACGAUUCACUUCACAAAUCCUAAACCGAAACUAAUACGUUCUGAUCUUAAGCUCACAUUCUCUCCCUAAGAUCAAAACGAACUUCUACUUGAUAACGUCGACGCCGAUCUUCUUCCUCAUCUCUUGAAAUUUCACUCUUCCAAGAGAUUUCGUCAAUAUGUCGGCCAGCUGCUCAUCUGUACUGAUGUAAUCAACAUCAAGCUUGCCUUCUUCCACACAUCCUCGUAUGUAAUGAAACCGGGUGUCGAUAUGUUUACUUCUAUCAUGAAACACCGGAUUCUUACACAGAGAUAUAGUGGACUUGUUGUCGAUCUUUAACUCAAACUUUUCUGGUUCUCAGUUUAGUAGAUCAGUAAGCAAUCGCUCUAGCCACACUCCCUGGCUUGCUGCGGUAGCUGCUGCAAUGUAUUCAGCUUCACACGAGGAUAGCGCCACAAGCUUCUGCUUCUGUGACAUCCAGCUCACAAUAUUUCCACCAAGGAAAAACGCCAUGCCCGAGGUAAUUUUACGGUCGUCAACGUCGCCGGCCAUAUCACUGUCACUGUACCCGACUAGUUGUGUCUUCUCCUCUUUCUUCUUUGAGUAAACACACCCAUAAUUCAGGGUUCCUUUGAUGUACCGCAAAAUCAUCUUCACCGCUGCAAAGUGUUCCGUUGUGGGGUUCUCCAUGAAUCGACUAACGAUCCCAACCGAGUAUGCCAAAUCUGGCCUUGUAUUCACCAAGUAUCUCAGACUUCCCACAAUACUUCUAUAUUCGGUAGUAUCAACAGGAUCUGCUUCGCUGUGUUUGCUCAAUUUAUGCCUUGCUUCCAUCGGUGCUGAGGUAGCAUUGCAGUCUUCCAUGCCGCACUUCUCAAGGAUUUUCCUCGCAUAAGCUUCUUGACACAAAGUUAUUGAGUCUCCUCGCUGACAUACUUCUAUCCCGAGGUAGUAGCUCAACAAACCAAGGUCACUCAUCUUGAAAAGAUCUAGCAUCUGCUUCUUGAAUCUUGCAAUCUCCCUCUCAUCUGCACCCGUGAUCAACAGAUCAUCAACAUAUACUCCAACUAGGAGCCGUUCCUUCCCAUCACCUCGUUUGUACAUAGCAUGCUCCAAUGGACUCUUCUCAAAUCCGAGGGACACCAAUGUAGCGUCCAGCUUGGUGUUCCAUGCCCCUCGGUGCUUGCCGUAGCCCGUACAAUGCCUUGUGCAGUCGCAACACCUUAUGUUCCGCUCCCCCUUCGAUGAAACCUGGAGGUUGUUGUACAUAUACUUCUUCUUGUAGGUCACCGUUCAAGAACGCUGAUUUCACAUCCAUAUAAUGCAGCUUCCAGGAUUCUUGAGCGGCCAAAGCAAUCAACAACCGUACCGAUUCCAUCCUUGUGACCGGAGCGAACACUUCCUCAAAAUCAACGCCUUGUUGCUGCACAUAGCCCUUUGCUACCAAGCGUGCUUUGUGCUUUACCACAUUGCCAUUGGAGUCUUUCUUCACUUUGAAUACCCACUUGAGGCCUAUGGGUUUAUGUCCGGCAGGGAGAUCAACCAAGCUCCAUGUCUUGUUAUCUUGGAUUGACCCCAUCUCCUCCUCCAUAGCCUUGCGCCAACUUUCUUCCUCGCUAGCUUCUUCAAACGAGGUUGGCUCUUCGGUACUUAACAAGCACCUUUCCUUCGUUGUGCGCUUCAUCUUGACCGUAUUCGUCUUGAGGAUCAUCUUCUUUGGAGAAGGGUACAACUCCGAUAGAGGUCGAAGUCGUUCGGGCGUCGGGCGUCGAGUCCGCGACCAAGUCUGCACCGGCGAUCGUACCAUCGUCGAUGCCCUUUGAGAGGUUGCUGCCGCGGUAGAAGUUUCAGCGUCUCCGCCGGCUGCUGCAUCCUCCCCUUCACUCGCUCCUGCCGCGGCAGAGGGAUCUUCUGCCGUGGCAGAAACUUCUGCCGUCUCUCGCGUCGUGGCAGACGCAGAUCUUCCUGCCGCGGUUUCUGCCGCGGCAGAAUUUUCUGUCGGGGAUCCUGCCGCGGUAGAGAUUCCUGCCGCUGUUCUUGCCGCGGAUGCCGGUGCUCUACUGAAGCUGAACACCGGUGUAGCGCCGCGGCACUGCGGCAUUCCUGGUGGAUCUCCGCCACCUGCGUCAUGGCCGUGGCCUUCUCCAUGGUUAUGACCUGCAUGCUCAGGGACAGGGUAAGAUACAACAAACAUAUCAUCCGAAUUUUGUUGAUUCUCUUCUUUGUUUGAGGACCAAUCCCAUGCCCUCUCUUCUUCAAAGACGACGUCGCAUGCCACGUGAACUUUUCUUGUUUGUGGAUCAUACACACGAUAAGCCUUCGAGUGUCCCUUCAAGCCUGCUUCAUAACCCAUCAAGAUCAUCGGCUUACUCCGGUCUUCCAGCUUUCCCACAUGUCCAGAAACAUUCUUCACAUGUGCCAUGCACCCAAAAGUACGAAGGUGAUCGACCGAAGGUUUUCUUCCACACCAAGCUUCAUAGGGUGUCAUGCCAAUGACACUUUUCGUCGGUGCACGGUUUAGCAAGUAUACCGCUGUAGUCACCGCUUCUCCCCAAAACCUCCCCGGCAAGCCUUUGCUCUUCAUCAUGCUUUGAGCCAUUGCUACCACGGUUUGGUUCCUUCUUUCAACAACACCGUUUUGCUGCGGUGUGUAUGGGGCUGUCAGAAAACGCUUGAUGCCAUGUUCCUCACAAUAUGCAGCAAACUCAUGUGAGAUAAAUUCCCCUCCUCGGUCAGUCCGGAAAGCCUUCAACUUUGCCUCUGCUUCUACUUCAGCAGCAAUCUUGAUCUUCUUGAAUGCUUGAAAUGCUUGAUCUUUCAUUUUAAGCAGCACAACCCACAUGUACCGACUGUAGUCAUCUACCACGAGUAGAAAAUAGCGAUUGCCGGCUGGGGUUGCAGGUGAAACUGGGCCACACAGAUCACCGUGAAACAAAUCUAGUACCUUCUCUGCCCGGUACUUUGCUUCUCUGGGAAACGGCGCUCGCCGUUGCUUCCCUACUAGGCAGCCAUCGCACACUUGUUCAACAUGAUCCACCAUCGGCAUCCCAACCACCAUGUCCUUCUGGCCGAGUUGUCGAAGCGAGUGAAAAUUCAAGUGCCCGUAGCGAGCGUGCCACCUCCAUGCUGGAUCAUCAACACCAGCUAACAAACAGAUCGGCUCUGUUUUGUCUAGGUCAAGAAUAUACAAGCGAUUCUUUGCCCUCUUGACCUUCAUCAGUAGCUUGCGUUGUCGGUCGUAGCCCCACAGGUACCCAUCCUCUAACACGAUUUUACAUCCCCUUUCCUCGAGUUGACCAAGACUGAUUAUAUUGCUUUUCAGCUUGGGGAUAUAAUAUACGUUGGUUAGUACCUUGUGAUCGCCAAAUCUUGUCUCGAAAAGAACUGUGCCUCACCCUUGUAUCACCACCGUGGAACCAUCUCCAAAACGCACCGAGCCACCCACGGCUAGGUUAAGCUCUGCGAAUUGGGUUUUGUCGCCAGUCAUGUGAUUGCUAGCGCCCGUGUCAAGGUACCACACAUUGCCCGCCUUCACUCUUGCUUUAUCAUGUAGGUAGACUUUCUUUUCAACAAGGGUUACGGACUCAGACUUCUCCUCGAUGACUUCCUCUUGACCUUCUUCCAUCAGCUCGCACAUCUCUACCAUCAGCAGCGCCGGAUCAUCAUCUUCUUCCCUGGCCAUAUAUGCUUUCUCUUUCUGUGGCUUUCGGCACUCCGACUUGAAGUGCCCGUAUAUUCCACAGCUGUGGCACCUAACCUUCUUGCGAUCAAACUUUUUCUUGGGGGCCGCACCUUUCUCCUCGGUACCUUGAGGAGCUUUCUUUGCUUGUGCUCGACCUCCUCCUUUAGCUUGAUCUCUUCUUCCACUAGACGAUGACGAAUCGCCAGUUUUCCUUGCGGCCAUAGCAGACCACUGCGCACGGGUCAUCAUCAGAUGCUCGUCAUCUUUGCCGUCUCCGAACACCAUCCGGAGUCGUUCAUCGUGCGCCUUGUAGCGCCCCACCAAGUCUUCCACCGUGAGGGUCUUCAGAUUGACACACUGCUCGAUUGAGGUUACGAUCUGGAUAUACUUUGGUGAUGCCGUGCAUAGGAACCGCCUGACCACGGAGAUCUCGGAGAGUGUCUUGCCUAGGUCGCGGAUCCCGUUAACGAGCGUCGUUACACGCGCUGCGAACGCGUCGACCGCCUCGUCUUCUCCCAUCUUCAAACUCUCAUAAUUCUUCAGCAAGGUUUGAAGGUUUGCCUCCCGGACACGCUCGUGUCCUUGAUGCAGGGUCUUGAUCGUAUCCCAUGCAUCCUUUGCAGAUUUCUUCCCCUUCAGGUGUUGUAGCACAUCGUUCGGCACAGCCGCAUGGAUGGCCGCCAACGCCAGGCGAUCAAUGCGAUAGUUCGCCGCUCCUUUGGCAUAAGUGUUGCCGCCAGGGUCGACUGCGUCCCAGAUCUCUUGAGAUUCCAUGGCCACCUCCAUCUUCAUUGCCCACAUGCUGUAGUCGCUGCGAUCGAGCCUUGGAAACGUCGCCGGUGCUGAGUUCCUUCCAGCCGCGGCUCCCGAUGUCCCCGCAUCCGUCGGCAUAGCUCCCGUGUACUAGGGACCGUUUUGCCGGAUUAACCUUAGCUCUGAUACCAAAUGUUGGAUCAAAACACAGGGAUCGCAUGACACAAGUACCGCGUCGAGUACUUUCCGACGAGGCCUCACUUGCGAAGGUAGUUGCUGGUAAUCACCAAUUACUUCCGGCGAGAUGCGCACAUAUACUAGUAUACGACCCAAGAAAUCAAUCAGCAACUAAGCUACUACUCACGUCGCGCACGCAUGAGGCAAAAACGAUUAGAGUUUGAUGGCCACAGGCACGUAUCGUGCCUGCUCUGUUUUUCUAUUUUUCUUAUUUUCUGGGGUUAGAGUUACAGGGUACGUAUACCCAUAUAUUUAUACAAGGCAAGGUCCAAACCGAAUAGAACUAGCUAACUGAAUACGAUUCACUUCACAAAUCCUAAACCGAAACUAAUACGUUCUAUCUUAAGCUCACAGGAUGGAGUAUGAUGUCAACUCAGUAUGGAAGGUUACAGAGUUGGCACUGCGGUGCAAAGAGCAACCAUCACGGGAACGACCAACAAUGACUGUUGUUGUUGUUGAGCUCAAUGAGUGCUUGGAGCUGGAGGUGUCUCGUAGAAUGGGCAAUUACAGAUCAGUCACUAGCGGCACAAACAGUCUCAGUGCAACAAGUGCUGACUUGCAUAGUGAUGCUCAAACAAGCGAUCUGAGACAGAAAAGCAUGCUUGAGGUGGGACAGGUUGGCGAUGCAUCGUCUACUCACGUAGGUCCCACACCACGAUGAUGCCAACAGUUUAAUUUUGUAUGGUUCAGAGGUCUAGUAUUAGUAGUCCAGCAUAUAGAUAGGGAACGCUUCACAAAAUAAAAUUACAUGGUAUCUUAUUAGAAUAUCUAAACAAAAAUUGUUCUCCCAGUUUGAUAGACUACAUAUAUGAAGGUUGUGAGUGUGAGCUUAGUGAGAAAAAUGGACCAUCUAUUUUCCAAAUGGAGCUAAGGCAUAUUAAUAACUUGUUGGCGACUCAAUCAAUAAUCGCUCAAUUUGGGACAGAGAUCUUCAGUGCAAACGUCAAAACAAAGAAAAUCAAGAAUCAGCAACCUCUGCUCCACCUUGACGUGGGUUUCAGAUGUAUCAGAAAGUUUAUGUGAGUAGGUUAUUUGUAUUAUAGUUGUCGACGAGAAGAAAUACCAAGAGCGAUCCUUCUAGAUGAAUGUGGUAAUAUGGAAAUAUUGUAAACAAUGCUAAACACAAAGAGUUCGUUACCUGACAGGAACAGCAGUUUUGUGAUAUCAGCAUCAUGUUAUAGAUCUUUUCCCAUAGCUCACCUAAGGGUCUCACAUUCCUUUUCUUUUUCUUCUCAUUAUGGUUUCCCAGUUCAUCUGUAGCUACUACAGUACAUGGUAAGGCAAACUAUAUGAGCAGAUCAGAAAAUAAUCGCUCUCUACCACGACAGAAAAAUAUAUUUCAAGUACAAACUUUGAUGGCAAUAAUGCAAAACUGAACCUGGUUGAGCAUCAUUUAGUCAGCGUAAUUGAUAAAUCCCCACCCACUCCAAGGACGGGUAGGGCAAGAACACACGUUUUCCGGGAAUCUGAAACGUCCCUCUCAAAAAGAGAUCAGAUCAACACAAAAGGCAGCAACUCAAGCAGUAAGAAAUUACGCUGUGGAGCGGCUUCCCCUUUUUGUCUGCAAGGGGGGACCUCAUAAUUUCUUUCUUGCGGCACCAAGAUAGUUGGCGCAUGCCUCUGGAGUAGAGUAUGACUCACCGGCGAUGUCGAUGGUGGCGGAUGAGAUGGGGAGGCCGACACCGCGGGCGGCAAGAGAAGCACCGGCGACGAGUUCCGUUUUUAGGGAGGCAUCGGCGACGAGCUUUUUUUUCUCUCUCAAGAGAGAGAUUUUUUUUUUUUUAGAACAGAGAAAGAGACGAUGAGCUGAACCCGGGUCCUGGGCGACCGGACCGUAUAUUUAGUGUGGGCAGAAAUCUUCCAUCUAUAUGUUUAUAGAUGGCCGAGAGAGCAUUUUGAUACAAUUUUGACCGGAUCGUAUAUUUAGUGUAGGCAGAAAUCUUCCAUCUACAUACACAUUUCGGCCCAUUGUCAUUUCACCACAACUAAAACAAAAAAAAAUCAAUUUCACCUAAAAAGUACGCGUCCGCCCGGUUAUGCUUUGAACUUCCGUUUAGUCUUAUUUGAACCUUAAAAUUCUUUAAACCGGAACACCUAUUUAGUCUAGCUAGGAUCUUGAAAUUUAAAAUCCUAUAAUCAUCUGUUUUUGUGCUAACAUGGCAGAUUUAAGACGGUUUUAGAGCUAACCGGAAAUGUUCGGAGCGCGGCCACCAUGCAUCUCUUUGCCCCCUUGCUGCCCAAGCUAAGCUUAGUAUGCUUUGUGAGCUCCGCUGUGUGGAGGGGAGCCUCAUCACUAGAGGAUUCCAUCGACACCACACAGGCUUUCUAUCUCAGCUCUAGCCUCGCAUGGUCGUGCUCGAUCUCCUCAACCGCGAAGCCCCGUCCCUUCUCACCUGCCUCCCUACUCCUUAGGUUUCACACCAUCUUGUUGAUAUGUCGAGAAUUCCCUAAGCACCUAGAGCAACAAAGUGGUCAUGCAUUGCGUGCCCUUCGAUGCUUCACCGUCAAUUGUCACCGAUGAAGCCGUCGGUGCAAUCCUCCUUCGUUGAUUUUGACUGCCAGGAGUGUUCAGGUGAGCUCCUUGUCUGUUUUUCCCUUGCUUCCUCACCACAUGUAUGUAGUACCUUUGCGCCUGGAGCCAUCGCCAACUGUCUUGGACCACCACUGACCAAUCUCAAGCGACCAUGGGGCUAGCUUCACGUCGCUAACGAGAUGUGCGGAUAAGACGGGGAAGUUUUCUCAAGACCCGAUUUCGAGCAUGGCUUGUCAUAGCACGAACCCCGAGCCUACCGAUGUUCCAUGUGCUCUCCUGGUGUUUGAACUCGCCAUGCCAUCAGGUCAAAAGGAGUGAAUGGAUUUUAAUCAACUCUAAAUCCGCCUGAGAUAUGACACGUCACCACUAAAAACACUAAAGAAAGUGAUUUAUCUGGUUGUAGAGAUUUUAGGGUUCAAAACGGACUAGGCACCGUUUGGUUUCAAGGAAUUUCAUAGGAAAAGCAUAGGAAUUCAUUUCCUAUAAGAAUCAGUCCUUCGUAGCCGUUUGGAACGCAGGAAACAGGCAUAGGAAAUGUGCAGGAAAGUUUCCUUCAACGACACUUCCAUGAGUAAAACACAGGAAAGAAAAAAAAUCCACUCCAACUUCUUGUUUCUCCAUCUUUGCGUACGACCGAGGCACAUCAAGCGUCAUCAUUGCAAUUAGCACUCCGCACUGCAAAAUCAAGUACCUAAUCGGCCUCUCAUUUUUGUUUUUUGUUUUUUUAGGGAGCCUCUCAUUUUUGUGCUGCAUUAUCUGGAGAUAAGUAAAAUGAUGUGGACAAGAAGAUGGUGUUACUUAAAUCUCUCACAUAUGAAUCCUUAUAGGUUUGUAUGUAAAAUUAUUAUUUUGAGAAACUUGUGAAAAAAAAACAUGUCAACAUGGUUUUGGAAAAAAUUAUGUGUGAAAUUCUGCAUUAAAACAUUUGAUGUGCUUAUCUACUAAAAACCACGUUAUCUACCCUUUCAUGAAUUCAUGUGUUUUGUUGUUUCCUGCAUUCCAAACGGCUUAUUACAAAAGUUUCCUCUGUUUUUUUCACUUGGAUUACUUUCCUAUUCUUCUGAUUUUUCCUAUUUCUAUGUUUUAUGUUCCUGUGUUUCAAACGGGCCUAAAUGUAACGAAAGUUGAGGGAAGUAACCGAUUGGACAUAGUUUUUUGGCUGAGAAUUAAACUUCGGACUAAACUUCUUGCAAACAAAAAGUGUAGCAAAAUACCCUAUCAAAAUACUCUCUCGGAUUUUGUAAAAAAAAAACUCUCUCGGAUAAUCGGAUGGGCCUUUCCUUCCCAAUAUCUGCUCGCCGCCGGUGUCCCCCAAAAAGAAGAACUCGUCGCCGUUGUCGGCCUCCCCAUCCCGUCGCGGCAUCGCCUACCCCCGGUGGCUGCGAGCUACCAGAUCCAUUGAACGCCACCACUAUCGCCAGUGAGCCCCCGAAUGGCCGCAGCGUAACUGUAAGAUUCCUCCCGCUUAGUGACUAUACUAGACAUCUUGUAUGCUGAUCUAAUCUCCUUGGGGCGGGCGCUUUCAGAAUCCCCGAAAAUGUGUGUUAUUUGAUGAUCUCUGUAGUCCUGCCCGCCUCGAGAAGGUGGCGAUUUAAUCAAUUACGCGGAAGAGCUAAUGCUUCGUCAGGUUCGAUUUUGCAUUGUGACUAGUCCGUGUCUGAAAUAUUAUCAUCUGUCCUACGUAGAGAUUGGGCAUUCUAUAUUUCUAUGGGAUGUCUAUGUAGUUGCCGUGCUAUGUAGUUUACAGAUGAACUGGGAAACCGUGUUCAGUAGGAAAUAAAAAGGAAUUUCACACCCUAAAAUGAGCUAUAGAAGAAGCUGAUUCAUUAAACUGUGGUUCACAUCAGUUAAGGAAUUCUCUGUGUUUAACACUGUUUACAGUACUAUUGAUAUAUUACCAAUUUCGUUUAUAAGGAUCGUUAUAACUUACUGCAACUUGGAAUACCUGAUAAGAUACCAAUAUAUUCCUUCUCGUCGCUGGCUCGGUAACAUUAUAACAAGAAGGGUAAUACAAAGAUCUUACUCACAUCAAACUUCCCGAUCUGAAAAGUGAAAACCAUGUCAAGCUGGAACAGAGGUUGCUGAUUCUUGAUUUCCAUUCUUUUGCAGUCUGUGCUGAACUUUUCCCCCCGGUUUAGAGGUUAUUGAUAGAGACGUUGAUGAGUUGUUAAGAUGUCUAGCUCCAUUCGUAAAAUGCACCCUCCAUUUCUCACACACACUCACAGCCUUCAUGUAUGUAGUCUAUUGAGCAUGGAGAUUUGUUUCUUGUUUAAUAACACUCAAAUAAGAAACCAUACAAUUUUCUGAUACACCACCUACUUAUAUACAAGAUUACAGUUCAAUAAAAAAUUAAUGGUUGGUCUUCAUCUUGGUAUGGGACCUAUGCGAGUCGCGGAUGCAUCGCCAACCUGUCCCAGCUCAAGCACGCUUUGCUGUCUCAGAUCACUUCCUUGAGCAUCACUAUGCAAGUCAGCACUGGUUGCGCUGAGAUUGUUUGCACCACUGGUGACUGAGCUGUAACUGCCCAUUCCGCGAGACAACUCCAGUUCCAAGCAUUCCUUGAGCUCAGCCACAAUGUCUGUCAUCGUUGGUCGCUCCCGUGAUGGUUGUUCCUUGCACUGCAGUGCCAGCUCUGUAACCUUCCAGACUGAGUUGACAUCAUACUCCCUCCCCAUCUUAGAGUCAGCAAUGCUCUCGAUGUUACCCUCCGAGAGCUUCUGGCGCACCCACUGCGCGAUGUGGAUGCUCUCUGUGUGAGUGACCGCGACUGCAGGCGGCUGGCCAGUUAUGAGCUCCAGUAAUACAACUCCGAAGCUGUACACGUCACUCUUCUCACUUAGCCGGGAUGUGUUGUAAUAUUCAGGGUCAAGGUACCCCAGGGUACCUGCCGGUUGGGUAGUGAUGUGGGUCAUGAACUCAUCGGCAAACACCUUCGAGAGACCAAAGUCACAUAUCUUUGCCUCUAGGUUAGCAGAUAGGAGGAUGUUCUUUGUCUUCACAUCCCUAUGGAUCAGUGGUGGUUGGCAGGACUUAUGUAGAUACUCCAAUCCUGUAUCCAGGUACCAGGUUAAGGAUUAUGUAAAAUUUUAAAACUAGCCAAACUUGGUCAGAGGUAUAUGAGGUUUUACCAGGUUUAAUUGAUAUAAGUAUCGAGUCAGUACAUCAUGUGUGUAGUAGUCCUAUAUAUCAUGAUUUACUCUCUUGGUGCUAUAUGAAAAUUUGAGAUGUGUACAAUCAUACAAACCUUUGGCAGAGUCGAGAGCAAUCUUGAGACGUUGAUGCCAGCUGAGGGGCGUCGCAACAGAGGCCUCUCCUGUGACAGGCGUAUCACAAAUCAUGCCAGAAAAAGCUUAGAAUAGGAAGUGGGUGGCAAAAAAUGUGUGCGGUAUAGGUGUAGUUUUGCCACAAUUUGUAUCAGGUAAAAGGUGUUUGUUUUUUUGGAAAACUCGGCUGCCAAAAAUCUGUUAAUUCGUGUAACUGAAGAUGUUGAAAUGAUGGAUACUAAAAAUUAGUAAGGACUGAUAUACUAUGUUGAACUAAUGAGGUGCCUAAAGCCUACAAGCGAGUUUUUUUCAGCAACAGACUAACUUGCCUCGUAGGCGGUCCUCUAGGUCUCCUCCAUGCAUGUAUUCGUAGACAAGGGCCAGAUGUUUCUUAUCCUUGCAGUAACCAAUCAUGGAAACCAGGUUUUUAUGAUGAACUCGACUCAAGUGUUGAGCCUGCACUGAAACUUGCAAUAAGAACAUUUGUUUUAAGCAAACAACUAAUAUAUUUCAAGUUAACAGACUACCUCAGCUAGAAACUCUGUAUUCCCUUGAGAAGAUGUUUUUGAACGGAUCUUGACAGCAACUGUACUUUCAUUCUCUAAAUAACCUAGAUACACGGCACCAAAUCCUCCUCGCCCUAUUUCUUCUCUGAAGUUACCUGUAAUGAGCUUCAGUUCCUUGUAACUGAACUGUCUGUUCUCAAAUAAGUUUGACCUCUCCCGGGGGCUAUUAAGCCUUGUGUUGUGUGCCGUCCAUGUAUCUGGAAUCAACCCAACUGGUAUUAUAUAAAUGAUAUGUAGUUAUUAUGGAUUUGGUGGUUUCCUUGAUGAAAUGUUACCUUGUUUAUUUCUUCUUUUGUGAAGGAUAAGAAUUGCUGCCACAAACAGUAGAGUUGCUACAGCUAUUGGUACAGCUAUUGCAAUGACGAGUGUUCUGUACUUUCCUUUGUCCUCUGAAUCACAUGUAGAAGCACCAUUGUCACAGAUAUUUGCGUUGUUACCAAUCCUAGCAUUAGAGCAACGAUGUCUGAAUUAUAUACAUUUGGAAGUUGGAACAAGAAAAUGGGGUAACUGUACUUGUUUAAGGCAUUAGUGAAGUAGCAGUUGUUAUUCUUUUUUAAUUCAUUGACCAUGGGAUCCUUUAGGAAAGAUCUUACAACUGUGGGCUCAUACAUUUUUUGUGGCAAAAAGAGUAUAAAUGGAUAGCUAUGCAAACCUUAAUAGAAGAGAUCUAUUUUGAUGCUUUUGUAGUAGAGCGGCAGGAACUGGUCCACUCAGUUUGUUGCUUGACAAAUCACUGUGGAAACCAGUACGUUUUUAAUAUACGGAUGCAAUAUAUUGUAAAGUGAAUUGAAGUGAACAACUAUACUUACAGGAAUGUGAGUGAUGGCAUUUGCGCUAGAAAAACAGGUAUUGAACCUGACAAGCUGUUAUUGGACAGGUCCCUGAAAUUGAAAUUCUUAUUAUUGUAUGAGUAAAUUUUAAGUUUUAUGUUAGUUUUCGACUUUCUGUAAGCGAAAUUAUCUGCGAAAUAUGUUGUGAGAAACUGAAGGGGUUCUGCAACUUAUAGGCUUAUAGCUUAGAAGUAGAAUAUGUUGUGUGAUGAAUAUGAUGAUAUUUGGCACUUACAAGUGUUGUAGAGAUUUUAGAUCACCAAACGAAGGAUCAACUGCACCGGUCAACACACUAGAGGACAGAUUUCUGUAGCAAAUCCCAUAGUAGAUUAGUAAGUAGACAUGGAACAAAGCUUUAUUUUUAAUCUUUCAGUGCAGCCAGUUCUUCUGCACUCUGAACAUUACUUCUGAUGCUUGCAAAUCUAUAACUUACAUAGCUUUUAUCUGUGCAGAUCCAGAUGAAGAAUAACUGCAAUUCAAGCCAUCCCAGGCAAAUGCUUUCGGUGCACAAGGGUCACCCAUCCAGUUCUUCUUCAGCGCAUAAGCGGUGCGAAUUGCCAUCAUGGCCUCAGCUGCCAUAUGAAAAAAGACAAGGUAUUUCAGAAGUCUUGCUUUGACUAUCCAAACAACUAAUUCAAAAAUUGGACAUGCAAAUGUUAACCCGAACUAAGAUCAUUGCUAAUGGAGCAGUGUUGGGUACCAUCUCCAUUAUUCGUCCCAAGCUCAGCCGUCUGCCGCACCGAGUAUAUCUCGAACGCGUUCAGGAUGGGUGGGAGUGUGGCGUCCGGUGUGGCGACAAGUGAGACGGUGUGCUGGCCUGACCCCUGCACCACCACCCUUUCCACAACUUCUGCAGAAAGGUAUUUUGGGCUGUAGCUCCGGCUUCCAUCCCACGAGGCGCCGUCGACAAGGACGUCGAACCGCCUUAGCGCGCCGCUUGGCAGCCUCUGCAGCUCCGCGAAGUAGAGCAGCAGAAGGUAAGCUGUGCUAUUGUUGUCAUUGUUCAGUGAGGGGUCCGGGCUCCAUGAGAAGUCGAGCUGGGUGCCGUUCACCGGAGUGGCAGCGCUCUGCAGUACCACGGACGGCUCGUCGAAGCUGCUGGAGUUUUUUAUGUCCACGGUAGUUGCUGUUGUUAUGUUGGUCCAUGCAGUGACAUCGCCGUAGCUCUGCCAGAGGCGGUCGUGCGAAUCAAAUGGAUACCUUUUGUUUGCAAGAAACAAAACCCAGUGUGAGAAAUUCGCACCAGAUGUGUCUGAUGAAUCGACAAUUUGUUACUAGUAUAUUGGUCAGCGAAAAUGAUUCUGGAUAGACCAAAAGAUGUUGCAUUUGGUUCAGCAUUAUAAAAGGAUGCCAUGUUAGUUAGCAGUGGACUCCAGCAAUUUAAAUCUAGCAGCAAUUCAUAGUGAUAAUCCUUUUUAUGACAGGUCACGGUGGUCAAUGCCAGCCGUCAGUUAGAUCGCAUUUCACGGAGAGAUACAUGUUAGUGUCUAUUGGAACUUGAGACAGGUGAUAAUAUUUAAACCAUGUGCUUGAUGUUCCUAAAACAAUGAUAAUAGUUAAACCAUGUUCGAGAUUGAUGAUCACUCUUCCAGUGUGGUGUCUGCAAUUGAUAAUACGAGCUCUUUACAUAAAUAAGUGCAGCAUGAGCCAAGUGUUACAAUCAAGUCAAGGAUAGAAAACUCAGGUCGAUCUGGUGUUGUUUGGAACACAGUUAAUUUCAUUGUGGUUUCUUAUGACUCACCUGAAAACUCUAUAGGAACUGGCCGGCCGCCAGAAGUGGUAGCGGUUCAAAGCAAACCUCGCCGUCGGCCGGCGAAAGUUGAGCAGGAGCAACGACUGGUUCGCGGUGGCCUCCGGGUACAUGGCCGCCCUGAGCGGCCUCAGGUCAAGCCCGGAGAUGAACGGCGUCCCCAACCCAAUGUCCACCAGACAAACCUGAAAAUCAAAUACAGUCAGGUAAAAAAAAACGUUCCAUAUAUACCAACCAGUUCAUCCAAAAGCUUCGCCGGAAACGAAUAAUGUUCCGUGUCGAUGCAUAUAAUUUACCUGCAGGAACUCGGCGGGCGACACGGUGACGGCCUCGAGGAUGUAGGUGUCGUCGGCGGCGGUGACGUUCACGGCGGCCCAGCGGUGGACGCCGAGGUAGAGGUCGAAGGCCGGGAGCCUGCUGAGCUGAUCGUAGUUGCCGUAGUAGAAGCUGCACCUGACCAGGUACUUGGCUCCUUGCGUUAGCCCCCGGAGCGUGUAGCAGCUCCUCCGGUUGUUGCCGCCACCGGAGCCGCCGGAGGGGGCGAAGAAGUAGCGGACGUUGAGGUACCGCGGCGCCAGGCCCCGAUCGCUGUACGGCGGGCUGAUGCCGGCGUUGGCCCCGGCCCCAGCGUCCACGAAGCCGGCGUCCGAGACGUACCUCAGGCCGUUGGUGGACUCGUCCGGGUAGCUCGUGCCCUCCGCGGUCCCGCAGUCGAUGCUGAUGAACCCUGCCAAAGCCGGCCAAAGCAGCUCGUUAACUGAGCAAGAUGCAUGCUUUCUUGGUAGAAAUUAUCAAGGACAUGUUCGAUCAGUACGUACCGAGAGUGUCGGGCUGGCCAUGGACGACGCGAAGCUCGGAAGACAAGAAGUAGAACGUCAGGACGAAGAUGAGGAGCAGCUGCCGACGAUGGCUUCCCGUCGUUGCCAUUGCGGACGCCAUGGCUAGCUGCGACACGCUGGUACGUUUUGCUCUCCUGGCCGGCUGACGGCUGUUAAGUGUGUAGAGAUUACUAGCUCAGGUCAAAGCAUUUGGUGUACGUUACAGCUGGCUUACUGCCGGCCGGCCGGCCGGCGAGGUUGGUGGUGUCGGAAACUCGGGAUUAAUGUUGGUGUCGUGUACUCGUGUGUAGUGGCGCGUUUUUUUAUGUAUAGAUAGAUACAUUCGUAUUUGCGCAGGUCAACGACGUGCGGUGCAAGUGUUUUGAGUAGUCUGCGGAGAUAACGCCCGGGAAUUUCGAGGGGUCGCAUCACAAGUCAGAAGUCAGCAGUCAAGCGAGAAGAGUACCUGCGGUUUAAGAAUUCGGAGAGCUGCGUACGUACAUGUACCUUACUGCCUGCGUGCACGUACGACAAACAGGUACAGCUCGCGAUGUGCUCCGGAAGUCUGGAGGUAGAAGUUGUUUGUAAAAGUACAGGAUAUGGUUUUUUAAGUACACAUGCAAAAAAAAAGAUGGUGCGAUAUGAUCUACUGCAUGCGUGUGGAGAGUUUGUAGUAUCUUCAAAACAAGAAAAAUUGACAUCGAUUAAUUCAUCAUUUAUUGGUAAUUUAUACAUGGUAUGUUAUGCACAAAGAGUAUUAUUAUUUUAAUACUUGUUAGAAAAAUAUUGUUUUUUGCCCCUUACUAUUGCUAUAGGCGACGUUUAUUGUUUUUAGUCCAUCAAUUGGGACUGAGUGCUAAAACGGUCUACAUUUGGUCGUUUGUCCUAUUGAAAACGGUUUAACGAUUGAUGGCAUGGUAUUGUGGUGGCACUUUUGUUCAUGUGGCAGACCGUCAGAAAAACAAAUCAUGCAAAAAGAUAAAAGCAAAAAUAUGUUUUCUUAACUCAAUCAAUUUGAAGAAAAAUAGGCAAAAAUAGCUUCAAAUUUAGAGAAAAAACAUGAAAAAAUAGUUCCAAAGAGUUUGUGGAAACAUACGACGAAGAUAAAGAAAAAAUAGGAAAAGUGAAGUGGGGGAGGAAAUUUAGUACUACCUCCGAUCCAAAAUAAGUCUAGUUGAAAGCUGCAACACUUAUUUUGAAUCGGAGGGAGUAAUAAUCUAUAAAUGUUAGUAAUAAUCGGAGGGAGAAAUAGCCAACUGAACUUUUGAAUUUUGCCGAAUUCACUGAUUAUGCAACACAUUUAUGAAUAUUAAACUUUUGUGUCGACUGGCUUGCCACAUAUGUGAUAUCAUCAAAAAUCGCUUUUAUUUGAGCAAAGGGGCAAAUGUAGAAGGUUUUGACACUUGAGGGACCAAGAAUUUAUCGUACUUAAUUUCAUGGACCAAAACUAAUUGGCAAUAGUCGAGAGACUAAAAACACUUUCUUUGUCUUCACCUUGUACUUUUUGUUCCCAUCGAUUUAUCAUGUCCUAUCUGAAAUUUACUUUCUCUUUUCUUUUUGAUCGGGUACUCUCUCUUUUCAAUUUAAGUAACAUACGAACAUGGAGUUCAAAUUCUUGGGAAUAGUCACAUGACCCCCUAGCCACUUAAACGAACUUUUGCACAUAACCUGUUAUCAUUGAGUUUAAAUGGUUGGGGUUUUCCACCUUUAAUAUGAACCCUGCACUUUUGAUUCAAUGGUUUACGAUGUCAGUUUGGAAAUUCGCACCGAGCGCGAGUUUUCACUAGAGAUAACCCAACACGCAUGGUGUUUAAUGUGGUGCUUAGAAAAAGUAAACUGUUUUUUGCUUAAGCACCGGUGCCUAUUUGUUUAGGACUCUUGGCACCUCUAGCAAAGAAAUAAACACUAACACUGGUGCUAAGGAUAAACCAGUUUAAUUUUAUAGGCAUCACCUUCAGCACCUUGCAUCAUGUUGCUCUCUAGUCGGUGCAUGUGACAGUUACUUUGAUCUAAGACCAAGUGAUCAGAACAUCUGUGGGAGCUAAAAGAAGGAAAAUAAACUUAGAAGUCACCAUCUUUUCCUGUUCAUUUGGCUCCUAAAGAAUUUGUUACUUUCUACUCUAACAGUUCAAACUUUCAACUAUGUUCACCAAGCUUUCACCUUAGGCACAACAAGCUCUCAACCUUAACACUAACAACACUGCUUUUUAGGCGUCCUCAGAAAACAGAAGAACGCUGACAACUUUCAAGCCAUAAAUUUAGCAUCGACUGGGCUAGAAUCACACAUUUCCAAACGUCCAGACUUCCUUCUUCUGAAAAUAAUGAAAAAAAAAUCCUUCGAGCUGCAACGCCGGUGACACUGCUGGGAAGGUGUUUAGUGACACUGCUGCGAUGGCGAAGGAGGGAAUCACACAAUUUCAGCGACGCGAGAGAAACGGAGUUGGUCUCAUCUUGGUGCAGGACCAACGUGAGUUGCGGGCGAACCGUCGUGCAAGAGCUUCUCCGCACCGACCACACUCAUAUCGUUAGUGUCACCGGCGCUGGAGCCAGUUCCCCGCUGCCACCGGCGAUCAUCGCCCGCCAUGCUCACACUGCUCACCACGGUAGUGCCUCUGCUACUACAGGCGGCCGAGCUGUGGUACCCACUGCUGCUGCUGCUGCUCGUAGCUACACGGUAGGCCUCCAGCUGCAGGCACUCCCUGAGCUCGGCCACAACGUCAGACAUCGCGGGCCGCUCCCGUGACGGCAGGUCCUUGCACCGCAGCGCCAGCUCCGCCACCUUCCAGGCCGAGUUGAUGUCGUAGGACUCACCCAUCCUCGGAUCGGCGACGUUCUCGACUCCGCACCCUUCGGCGAGCCUCUGGCGCGUCCACUGAGCGACGUGGAUGCUCUCGGUCGCUGAGAUAGGGACAGCCGCAGGCAGGCCGGUCAAGAGUUCCAGGAGCACCACGCCGAAACUGUACACGUCGCUCUUCUCACUGAGCCGGGACGUGUUGUAAUACUCCGGAUCAAGGUACCCCAGGGUGCCCGCUGGCUGGGUGGUCACAUGGGUGACGAACUCGCCGCCGGUGAGCGCCUUCGUCAGGCCAAAGUCAGCGAUCUUCGCCUGAAGAUCUGCGGUCAGGAGGAUGUUCCUGGUCUUCACGUCCCUGUGGAUCAGUGGAGGUUGGCAUGACUUGUGCAGAUACUCCAAUCCUGCAGACAUAAAAUUGAGCAAUUAAUCAACUAGAUAGUGAUGGGCUAAUUAAAAACGGUCAAACGGAAGCAGCAAGAACUAAAAGUUAGAUGCCAAUGGUGAACUGGUGAUACCAAACCUUGUGCAGAAUCCAGAGCGAUCUUGAGGCGUUGAUGCCAAGUAAGAGGAGCAACAGCAAAGGCCUCGCUUGUGACUAAAAUUCAAGGUAGUAGUUGCUUAAUUAAGUUUCUAAAUCAAAUUCCAUUUGUGACAACUGUAUUAAAACAAUUAGUUUGAGAAUAGUUUAAAUUUAAUAAAAGAGAGAUUUUACGGUGUCAACCUGAGCUAGUGCUACUUGAUACACCUCUUAGACGGUCUUCAAGGUCACCUCCAUGCAUGAAUUCAUACACGAGGCCAAGGUGCUUCUUGUCUUUGCAAUAGCCAAUCAAUGAGACCAGGUUCCUGUGAUGAACUCUCCCCAGGUGUUGAGCCUGCAAAGUGCAGUACAGGCUGGGUUUGUAGCUUUCAACCAAGUAAAAUGCAGGGUACCAACUUCAAUGGAAGGUACAGCUUACUUCAGCUGUGAAUUCCUUGUCACCAUGCGAAGUUUUCUGCAUGCAUAUCUUGACAGCAACAGGAGUAGUUCCAUCCUCCAGGUGGCCGAGGAAGACGGUUCCAAAUCCUCCUCGUCCUAUUUCUUCUCUGAAAUUUUCUGUCAUAAGCUUCAGCUCCUUAUAUGUGAACUUCCUGUUCACAAAUAAAGUCGACUGUUCUCGGGGGCUGUUUGGCCUUGAGUUGUACACCAUCCGCGAAGCUGGCAAAAUAUCACAUUGUGUGACGCAAUAAACAGGGUUCAGUUUAAUGCAGAUUGAUGGUGUCAACCAUGGCCAUACCUUGUUUGUUUCUCAUUCGGUGAAGGAUAAUAAAAGCUGCAAUGAACAUUAGAGUUGCUGUUGCUAUUGGAAUAACUGUCGCGAUGACUAUUAUUGUAGUUUUGUUGCUGCUCUUGUUCUGCUUACAAGUAGAAGCACCACUUUCACAUAGAUUAUCAUUGUUGCCAAACCUAGCACCAAAGCAGUAUAAUAACUAAAUUUGUUAAAUGUGGAGAAUUGUAUAGUCAUCGUACAAGUUUAAGCAAAUUAACAAGUGGAAUCAGUAAGUUGGCUUAAUGCAACCUUAAUGAUAAGGAUCCAUUUUCUGACUUUUGUAGCAAAACUGCAGGGACCAGUCCGCUAAGCUUGUUGCUUGACAGGUCCCUGGAAGAUACAGACUAAACAACGUCAUGAAUGAUUGUAUAGAGUAUGUUCACGAUGCCAUAUGAACACGGGCACUUACAGGAGUUUGAGCGAUCUCAUUUGUGCUAGAAAGUCAGGUAUUGGACCGGAGAGAUUGUUAUUAGAAAGGUUCCUGAAAUUGCACUUCAUGCUUAUGAAUGUAAUCAAAAGCUACAAUAAGAAGGAAAAAAUAUAUAAAUUUAAAACUAUAAAUUGAUUUCUGAUAUGCAGAGUUGACUUGAGACAAUUAUAAUAUUCUGGGUUCGGGCCCAAUGGUGAAGAGAGAAGACUGGAAGGGAAAGGUCACCACCUGGGUUCGAACCAUGGCACGGCUGGUUGGGAAACAACCUAUCUCUAUUACUUUUACAACAACUACGAUAUGUACAUGCAAAUGUGUAUCUGUCACCAAGGGGGCCUAAUUUCUUCUGUUUAGCACAAAAACUGUAUGAUGGUCUGGACAACUUACAAGUGCUGAAGGGAUACUAAAUCACCAAAAGAUGCAUCGAUUGCACCAGUCAAUCCGCUGGAUGACAAGUUCCUGUAGCAAAUCCAGCAAUCUCAUAAAGGUGUAUCUUUAUUUUUAGUACUUAUUACUGUGCGAGUAUGCAUCAAUGUUAGGGUUUUCUUUUCUUCUCAAAAUUAACUGGGUUCAAGCUAUCCCAUUCCCAGGAACUUACAAAGCUGUUAUCCAUGCGGGGCCAGAGGAAAAAUAACUGCAGUUCAAGCCAUCCCAGGAAAAUGUUUUAGGAGCACAAGGAUCACCCAUCCAGUUUCUCUUUACACCAAACUUCACCUGAAUUUUCAUCAUGGCCUUCGCUGAUCAAACGCACAUACCAAAAAUAUGUUAUGUCAAUCUCUCAAACUUACUAUAUGGGGAUCUCUUAAAGAACCAUCAGACACAAGGACUGAUGAAAUGAGUCAUUAAACUAUCUUGCAAUCAAACUGAAGGCACAUUUCCUACCAAACAGAGCAAAUUAAGCAAGGAUAAAAAAUGUGAAAUUUUGGACAAUAUAACGAGUUACCAUCUCCAAUAUUUGUUGUGAAUCCCGUCAACUGCUGCACAGAGUAUAUCUCAAACGCAUUCAGGAUUGGUGGGAGAGUGGCAUUCGGUGUGGCAACAAGUGAGACACUAUGUUGACCUGACCCAUGAACUGUCCAAGAUGCAGCCUCUGCAGACAAGUACUUUGGCGUGUAAUGCUGGCUGCCGUUCCAGGCAUCAUUAUCAACAAGGAUAUCAAACUGCCUCAGUACAUUGCUUGGUAGUUGCUGCAACUCCGCAAAAUAGAGUAACAGGAGGUAAGUCAUGUUGCUAUCAUUGACGGAUGGAUCUGAACUCCAUGAAAAGUCGAUCUGAGAGCCGUUUAACGGAGUAGCAGCGCUUUGCAUUAUCAGUGACGGCACGUCGAAGUUGGAAAUUUUGGAGGUUUGGACAGUCUGGGAUAUUGUCACAUUGGUCCAGCUAGGAGCAUUAUCAUACCUUUGCCAAAUGCGGUCAUAGGAAUCAUAGGGGUACCUGUUGUUCAAAAGGAAUGAUUAAUCAAAUUUAAAAAUUAAAAGUGACGACAUUUCGAUAAAAUCAUACAAGGAUAGGUAGAAGAUCAGAUAAAGAUGUAUUGGUAUUGAACAGCAAUGUAAUUUAUAUUUAUGAGAUAGACUAACAAAAGAAACAAUUCACAAUGAGAUGAAAAAUUAAGGCAGAGCAUAUCCUACUAGAAUCAUUCAUUACUCCGCUUCAGAUAAGAGAAACUGAAAGAGUACACAUCAUGCAACCAAAUUGCAUAAAAAAGAGAGAUGAAAUAUUCCAGUGGUUGCAAUGUUAGUUUAAUUUAAUUAGUUAGCUUAUCCACAGCAUCAUGUAAAAUGCUACCCUCACAAUAAACUUAGGACAAGUUGACCUGAUCUACUUUAAUCGUUGGCGCGCCUUAAUUGUUACCUGAACAUUAUUAUGUGCAUAAUAAGAUAAACUCCAUCAAUCCAAGCUAGCAAGCUAACUGGCUCACCUGUAUAUGGGAGCAACAGAACCCCAGAACUGGUAUCGGUUGAAGCCAAAGUUGGCGACUGAUGGCCGGAAGAAGUUGAGGAGAGCCAGCGACUGGUUAGCAGUGGCUUCCGGGUACAGGUUAGUCUUCAGGGGCCUCAAAUCAAUCCCAGAGAUGAAUGGUGUACCCAAUCCUGUGUUCACCAGGCACACCUAUGCAUUUGAAGUCAAAAUAACAGGACUGGGCUAAUUGUCUUAGUUUUCAUAUGAUCAAGGCAAAUCAUAUCUCAUAGAGCAGCAAUGCAUGGUUGUAUAGAAGACUAAAAUUAGAGCGUAGUUGCUUGAAUAUGAGAAAGGGGUUUGUGAGGAGUCGUGUAACAACCUGAAUGUAAUCUGCUGGUGCCACCGCCACCAUUUCGAGCACAUAUGCUCUACCGGCAUAGGUGAUGUUCACAGUGGUCCAGUAAUUGACACCGAGGUAGAGGUCAAAGACAGGGAGCAUGUUCAGCCCGUCAUAGUUGCCGUAGUAGAAGGUAGCUCGAACAAGGUACUUGCCUGCCGGAACAAGCGACCGGAGAGUGUAGCAGUUGCGUGUGCCAUCAGGGAAACACCGCACGGUGAUAUAGCGGUCAGCCAUGUCCCGCUUGUUGUACGGUGGGUUGACCUUGCUGUUUAGCCCCGUGUCAAUGAACCCAAAGUCAGAGACAUAUAGUAGCCCGGAUGAUGAUUGGUCGCUGUAGGAAGUGUUCUCUGGGAUGCCGCAGUCGAUGCUUAUGAAGCCUGCCGAGAACAUCAUUUUUUUCUUCAGAAAUCAGCAAGCAUGAAACAGCCAAGAUUUUAAGAAUUUGCACACAUCUUCUUUCCGUAGGAGCAUGGAAUGAAUCAAUAGUCAACUUUACUAGUCAUUAGGAAGAAAGAUAACUGAAGAACAGGAGAAGUAGUGUACAGAAAUUACAAAUUACAUAUAGCUUAUGAAGCCUGUCAAGAACACCUUUUUUUUUAAGAAACCACACGCAUGAAACAGCACGCAUUUUAGCAAUUUGAGUAUGCACACAUCUUGUUUCCCAUAUGAGCAUAUAAUGAAUCAACAUUCAACUUUACUAAAUGUUCGGUAAAGUUCAGAGAGGUAACUGAGCAGCAGGAGAAUAAACAUACAGAAAUUAACUAGAGCUUAUGAAGCCUGUCAAGAACAUUGUAUUUUUUUUCAGAAAUCAACAAGCAUGAAACAGCAAACAUUUUAAGAAUUCAAGCAUGCAUGCAUAUUCUUUCCCAUAAUAUGAUGGAAUGAAUCAACAUUCAACUUUACUAGCUAUUCAGUAAAGAUAAGAACUGAAGAACAGGAGAAGUAGCGUAUAGAAUUUAGGAAAUUACCUAGAGAAUCGAGCUGCCCAUGGAUGGGAACUGUCAGUUGCCAUGCAAUUGUCACAAGAAUCAAGAACUGAACUGGAAUUGCUAAUGCCAUUUUGCUCCCACGAUCCUCUUUAACUUGUUAUCGCUGGUUGGGGAGAUACCAAGAACUGAAUUCCCUUAAUGUCGCUGAGUUCUAGUAGCAAUAUAUAGCAGUAUAGUACAUAGCAGCAUACAUCCAGUAGUACGCAUCAUGAUAGGUAGUUGCUUAGGAGGUGACUGGAAUUUCUAAUGCCAGCAGGCAUCAAGUUCCUAUUCCAAAGUCAACUCGUACUAAUCCAAACCUAGGAAAUAUAUACUUAUGGUUUGGCAGUUUGCCCACAUCAUUGUUCACCACCCCGAAUGGAGGUGCAACCUAUGAUAUUAUUAAACGACUUUGUCCACUCAACAUCUGCAUGAAAAUCCAUACCCGGUUUGACGUCCGGGCUAUGACACAGAAUAAAUCUGACGUUUGGCAAGAAAAUAUUGCCUCUGUAGUCUGUACCACUUGACACGAAACAUUUUGUCAAAAUUUCCCCUAGCUUGUUCAACGAGACUACGACUAUAGCCUAAGGGGACGAAAAAACGGCAAUUCUGUUUGGCCCGUACCUAUCGUCUUCAACACCUCUGCCUCCAACAUUGGUCGACCUCCUCCUCAUCCUGUAGCAUUCGCGCUCAAUCUUCACGGUGCGGUUGGAGGAAGCACGUGCUCGAAAGGGGCAUCAAUGCUGGAUCCUCCUGUGAGAGUGAAGUGUCGACAGGCCACUCAUACCCAUUUGGUCCAAAUCGAAACAAUCCCAAACAAUUGAUCUCUCUCCGAAAGCCGGAGGGCUCGUCCGAAAGCCUCAGCCGUCCCGUCCAACGCCGAUGCGCCCUCCAGUUCGCUCGGGGCCUCCGGCGCUGCUCCGCCGCGGUCGGCUCGCGCAACACCACAACGAUCUUCAUGGACUUCUCCUCCUCCCUGGCUCCCCGCUUUCGGAACCGCCUGCGCGCAAAGCCACAACGGUGUCCGAGCUCCCCGCCGCCGACCGCCGGGUCAGUACGAGACAGCGAGCCAGAAGCCCAGAAGAGAUGGUAGUACUACACGAGAACUUGGCCUACACCAGCCUAUACUAGCCCAUUUCCUAGUCUCACUCUCUGAACUGACAAACCGGCCCAUAUAAGCCCAGUCCAUUCACCCCUCAGUCUCUCACGCGGUCACACCUCGGCCAACCACAGGACGGCACCAACCUGGGAGGCCCAUUGCUUCCGAAACAAAUCCAACGGCCCAAACCCACCCCUAUCCCCCAUCUCGGCCGUCCGCGCUAGGGUAAUCGAUCGCGAAACCUGCCCCAUCCUAUAUAAAGCUCUGCCUUCUCCCUCCUCCAACCCUAGCCGCACCCAGCUCCCCAUCCCCCUCACCGCCGCCACUGCGCCGCUGCCGCCACCGCCGCCGAGAUGGGUCGCGUGAUCCGCGCGCAGCGUAAGGGUGCGGGCUCCGUGUUCAAGUCGCACACCCACCACCGCAAGGGCCCGGCGCGCUUCCGUUCGCUCGACUUCGGCGAGCGCAACGGGUACCUCAAGGGCGUCGUCACCGACGUCAUCCACGACCCGGGGCGUGGCGCGCCGCUCGCCAAGGUGACCUUCCGCCACCCCUUCAGGUACAAGCACCAGAAGGAGCUCUUCGUCGCCGCGGAGGGCAUGUACACCGGCCAGUUCGUCUACUGCGGACGCCGCGCCACGCUCUCCGUCGGCAACGUCCUCCCGCUCCGCUCCGUGCCCGAGGGAGGCGUCAUCUGCAACGUCGAGCACCAUGUCGGCGACCGCGGCGUCUUCGCCAGGGCCUCCGGGGACUACGCCAUCGUCAUCAGCCACAACCCUGACAACGGCACCUCAAGGUACUUUCAGCCAUCAUCUACCCUUCUGUCUAUUCUAUUCAACGCGCAUGCGCCAGAUAGUGGUGGAUUGUAAUAGUUUAUGAGGUGUAUGAAUAUGGUUAGAUCUGGCGUGCUUUUAACCCUUCUUAGAUUUUCUAUGACGUGAUUCGUGGUAGGAAAUGAUGAUCUCCCUCUAGGGACUGUAUGUAAUGAGAUAUGUAUUGUCUCUUCACACUGCUUCUGGCAUGCCUGCCUUAGAUACUGUAAUUAUUGAAUAUUGAAUUGCCUAUGUAUGCUUGCUCCAGACAUUUUUGUAAUCUAGCAGAGUUGAAUGUUGUUUAAAGUUUAUAAAGACAUCAUAUUGGAAACAUGAUGUUUCUUCUAGUCUUGAUUAUGUAAUAUGUAAUAGUCAAUUGAUGUUUUCAUGUUUUGCAUUUUGGUUACAUCUUAGUUAUGCAAGAAAUUGACGUAGAGAUUGAUGUUUGUAAACCAUGAUCCUGGAACCAUGUGAUCCUGUCUCUAAUUAAGAUCACCAGUUGUUGUAUGAUCCUGUUUUUAAUGAAAUCAGUAGUGUCUGUGAAUUCCAUGAAGUAGUCAGUUUAUUAGAAUAAUUUGAUUGUACAUGCUACAUCACUAGGAUGUCAUUUUGUCUUCCUGGUGAGUCCUUUCCUCUGAUGCUUUUGAUGAUUUCUUUAGUAGUACAUAUAUAUUUCAGACUGAGUCUUCUGUAGAGGUGAAUUCACCCAUGUUCUAUUUAUGCAGGAUCAAGCUCCCCUCUGGUGCCAAGAAGAUUGUCCCAAGCAGCUGCCGUGCCAUGAUUGGUCAGGUUGCUGGUGGAGGCAGGACUGAGAAGCCAAUGCUCAAGGCUGGUAAUGCCUACCACAAGUACCGCGUGAAGAGGAACUGCUGGCCUAAGGUGCGUGGUGUGGCCAUGAACCCUGUGGAGCAUCCCCACGGAGGAGGUAACCACCAGCAUAUUGGUCAUGCCUCCACUGUCCGCCGUGAUGCACCCCCUGGCCAGAAGGUUGGUCUCAUUGCUGCCAGGAGGACUGGUCGUCUCAGAGGCCAGGCUGCUGCCUCUGCUGCCAAGGCUGACAAGGCCACUUAGAGUUAUCGUCGCUGUUUAUCUAUAUUUGCUCCCGUGCUCGCCUCUAGAUUACCCCUCAAGGACAUGUAUUCCAUUAUGGAUGUGGUUUUUGCUCGGUACUUUGGUAACCUGGACAUGUUUGUUAUCAGUUUUCGCAGUUGUGGUCUGGAUUCUUCAUUCCACAUAAAGAAGAUUAUGCUUGGAUAUUUUGUGUUGUCAUUCUAUCAGGCUCUGUUGCUCGGUCAAAUCUGUUGGAUGUCUAACUUGCUAGUUCUGUGGUCUGGAUUCUUCAUUCGCAUGAAGAUUCUUCAUCACAUAAAGAAGACUAUGCUUGGAUUUGUUGAUGCGUGUAUGAAUGUUUUUAAAUCCCGUCGUAGUUUUCAGAAUCUCAACGGCAGGAACGUUGAGGAUUAAAUAGAGACUUUGUUCACGAUUCAGUGUUCAUCGGAUUAAAACUCUGGCUACCUCAUACCGUUGACGAUGCCAACAGCCUCGCCAGCCGGCCGUCACAGGGAGUUGACUUGUAAAUCCUUAGCCGGCUCAUUCUUAGAAAAGACAGAACAUAAGCAAACUGACAAUCAACAAGCUGAAAGACGAGCACUCGCGCAAAGGCAGAGGCAUGUCGGCAGCAACGGCAACAGCCCGCCGUCGGUAUCGGUCGCCGGUGCUCCUCCUCCUUUGCUUCUUCGCGUCUGCUCCCAUCCAUGGCCAGCCCGACGUCCUAGGUACCCCGAACGUGUCCUGGCCUCAAACUUCCCUCCGCAACGUACCACCGACGAGUCCUCGUGCAUUGACCCGCUUAAUUUCGCGCACAGGUUUCAUCAGCAUCGACUGCGGGAUCGCCGAGGGCUCGAGCUACACCGACGGCUCCACCCGUGGCCUCAAGUACGUCUCCGACGCCGGCUUCGUCGACGCCGGCGCGGGCGCCAACGCCGGCGUCAGGCCGCCCUACAGCCAACAAGCCCAGCCGGCGCGGUACCUCAACGUCCGCUACUUCCCCGGCCCUGCCGCCGGCGCCCGGAGCUGCUACACGCUCCGCGAGCUCUCGCCUGGAGCCAAGUACCUGGUCAGGUGCGGCUUCUACUACGGCAACUACGACAAGCUCCGCACGCUCCCGGCCUUCGACCUCUACCUCGGGGUCGACCGCUGGGCCACCGUCAACGUCACCACCCCCGACGAGAGGUACAUCCUCGAGGCCGUCGUCGUGUCGCCGGCCAGCUUCUUGCAGGUGCAUGCUCUCAAGUUUUCGCUUCGAUGCAGACACCUGGGCUUCUCCUUUAAAUCUCAAGUUUUUGGAUCAAACUACUGUCGAGUUUUACAGGUGUGCUUGGUGAACAUAGGGCUGGGCACGCCUUUCAUCUCCUGGCUUGAUCUGAGGCCUCUCGGGGCGGCCAUGUACCCGGAGGCCACCCUGAAGCAGUCGCUGCUCCUGCUCAACCUUCGCAGGCCGGGAGCCAAAUACGCCUUGAACCGCUACCAUUUCUGGAGGCCGGCCACUUCCUAUGGAGUAUUCAGGUCACCAUCACUCUUUAAUAACGCCCUCUUUGAACGUCAAAACUCUCAGAAAAGCCAUCAGUACGUACGUCGAUCAUACACACAUCUUCUAAUUCUCUCACACCAACAGGUACCCGUCUGAUCCCUACGACCGCGUCUGGCAGAGCUACGGCGACGUCGCAGCAUGGACAAACAUAACAACGACGGCCGCCGUCAACGUCUCCAACGCCAGCAGCUUCGACGAGCCGUCGGUGGUGUUGCAGAGCGCCGCCACUCCGGUGAACGCCACGCGGCUCGACUUCUCAUGGACCUUGGACUCCUCCCUGUCGCCGAACAACGGCAACAGCAGCAGCACGGCUUACGUCCUGCUCAUGUACUUCGCUGAGCUGCAGCAGCUGCCAAGCGCCGCGCUGAGGCAGUUCAGCAUCCUCAUCAACGGUGCCUCGUGGAACAGCAGCCGGCGGAGCUACGCCCCGAAAUACCUUUCUGCAGAGAUUGUGAAGAUGGUGCUUGUGCAGGGGUCAGGCGAUCGCGCUGUCGUUUCUCUUGUCGCCACGCCUGAAGCGACGCUCCCGCCCAUCUUGAACGCGCUCGAGAUAUACUCGGUGCGGCAGAUGACUCAACUUAAGACGGACAAUGUAGACGGUAUCUAACACUGUAAUCUCUCUGUUACAUUGUCAACAAUCUUAACUAGCUCGGGUUAACAUUUACAAGUCCAGUUUUGAACUAUUAGGUUGGAUUGCAUGCAGAGCAGAACUUCAGGAAUCCAUCUUUUUUUCUUUCUGUAUGACAGCUGAGGCCAUGAUGACGAUCCGUACGACGUAUGCGCUGAAGAAGAACUGGAUUGGUGAUCCUUGUGCACCUAAAGAUUUUGCCUGGCAUGGCCUGAACUGUAGUUAUCCAUCAUCUGGCUCUGCACAGAUAAAAGCUUUGUAAGUUCUAGAAUUGCAAGCAUUGUAGUUAAUGCAUGCUUGCGCUGAAAGAUCGAAAAGCAAGCUUUAUCAUGCCUUGGUAUUAAUCUACUAUGGGAUUUGCUACAGAAAUUUGGCAUCUAAUGUGUUGACCGGUGCAAUUGAUCCUUCUUUUGGUCAUCUAAAAUCUCUACAACACUUGUAAGUGCCAAAUACCAUCAUCACACCAUUAAGAACCCCAUCAGUUUCUCGAAAUCAUACAUAACCUUGCUUUAAUAUUUAGCACCUAAUUUCGCUAACAGGAAUUUGAAGCAGCAUACAAUUUAAAUUUUACUCAUACAUAUCUGUUUUCUCAUAGCUAUUAGAAUAUUUCCAUAAGAAUUUUAAUUCCAGGGACUUGUCCACUAAUACCCUGUCGGGCCCAAUACCAGAUUUUCUAGCGCAAAUGCCAUCACUCACAUUCCUGUAAGUAUACUUAUUCACUUCACUUGGAAAUCUAUUGCAUCGGUAUAUUGAAAAUGUACUGGUUUUCACAGCGAUUUAUCAAACAACAAACUCAGUGGAUCAGUUCCUGCAGCUCUACUACAAAAGCAUCAAAAUGGAUCUCUUAUACUAAGGUUUGCAUGGCUUAACAGUUUAUAUUAUGAGGGUGUUUUUUGAACUUCCAGAUAAGUUCAGGGGGGGGGGGGGGUAAAGUGGACUUAAUUCUAUAUUUUACACCAAAAUGUAUGAGCCCACAGUUCCCUAAAUCCAGGUUCCUUUUAUAAGGACUGCAAAAUCUUUCCUCAAGGACCGUGUAGUCAAGGAAUUAAAUAAGAACAAUUACAACUAACUGACUUCAAAAAAGUACAGCUACUGCAUUUUAUUGCUCUAAAUGUAUUUAAUUCAGAUAUUUUGUUGCUCUAAUUAUAGAAUCGGUAACAACACAAAUAUCUGUGACAAUGGUGCUUCGACAUGUGAUCCAGACAAAAAGGAAAAGAACAGAACACUCGUCACUGCAAUAUCCGUAACAAUUCCUGUAGCAACUCUACUGUUUGUGGCAACAAUUCUUAUCCUUCGCAGAAGGAGAAAUAAACAAGGUAACAUUUCAUCAAGGAAAGCACUGAAUCUUAAGUAACUGAAGAUCAUUCAUAAAAGACAGGUUUGAUUCCAGACACAUGGAUGGCAAACAACGGUAGGCUUAGCGGCCCUCGGGAGAGGUACAACUUAUUUGAGAACGGACAAUUCAGCUACAAGGAACUGAAGCUCAUCACAGCUAACUUCAGAGAAGAAAUAGGGCGAGGAGGAUUUGGUGCCGUGUUUCUAGGUCAUUUGGAGAACGAACGUACAGUUGCCGUGAAGAUCUGUUCAAAAACAUCAUCUGAAGGGGAUAAAGAGUUUCUAGCUGAGGUAGGCUGUUCACCUGAAAUGCACCGUUUGUUUGCUUAAAACAAAUGUUCUUAUUCCAAAUUGCAGUGCAGGCUCAACACUUGGGUCGAGUUCAUCAUAGGAAUCUGGUUUCCUUGAUUGGUUAUUGCAAGGACAAGAAACAUCUGGGCCUUGUAUAUGAAUAUAUGCAUGGAGGAGACUUGGAGGACUGCUUAAGAGGUAAUGUCGUCUCUCCCAAUUAAAAAAAACUCAGCUGUGGGCUUUAGGCACAUCAUUAGUUCAACAAAGUUUUUGACUCUUUACUAAAAAUUGUGUGCAUUGUUUCAACUACUCUAAGCACAAUUGUCUAAGGGGAAAAAAUACAUCAUUCUACGUAAAGACACACUUCCCAGAGGAUGCAAUAAUUUUGAACAAACCAAAAUUUGGUGUGUAAUACUAUCAAUUGUUAUCUGAUCUAUUUUCUUUUCGCAACUGUGAGUGCUGCAAUCAUGUGUCCGCUCCAGUAUUAAGAAAUUGCUGGAGAAGGCAACCAAUUUCUUCGAAAAGAACGCUUUUAACAUGACAUAAACUGUGGCCAAACUACACCAAUAUAUCACAUGCUUUUCUUUGUCAGACUCUUACUGUUAUGCAUGGACCUUUUUAUGCCCAUAUUUUCUCGCAGGAGAGGCUUCUGUUGCUACACCCCUCAGUUGGCAUCGACGUCUCAAGAUUGCUAUCGACUCUGCCCAUGGUUUGUUGAAAAAUCACCUCUGAAACUUUGAUUGUAGUAGUAAGAGAAUGCAUCACCAUUUACAGGACUAGUUCUGAGUUUACUUGUACCACUUAAACCACAUACCUCUGACAAAUAUGGCUAACUUUACGUAAUUCUUAACCUAUCAUUAUCUACUCACUAGCUACUGGUCAUGGAUACAGGAUUGGAGUAUCUACAUAAGUCCUGCCAACCUCCACUGAUCCAUAGGGAUGUCAAGACGAAGAACAUCCUGCUAUCUGCUGACCUAGAGGCGAAGUUAUCCGACUUCGGCCUGACGACGGUGUUUGCCGACGAGUUCAUGACCCACAUCACCACCAAACCAGCAGGGACCCUGGGAUAUCUUGACCCUGAAUACUAUAAUACAGCCCGGCUGAGUGAGAAGAGUGACGUGUACAGCUUCGGAGUAGUACUACUUGAGCUCAUUACAGGUCAACCCCCAGCGCUCGCUAUCAGUGACACCGAGAGCAUCCAUAUAGCAGAGUGGGUGCGCCAGAAGCUCUCGGAGUCGGAGGGGAACAUCGAGAGCAUUGCUGACAUGAAGAUGGGGACAGAGUACGACAUCGACUCAGUCUGCAAGGUUACAGAGCUGGCACUGCAGUGCAAGGAGCGACCAUCACGAGAACGACCCACAAUGACAGAGGUUGUGGUUGAGCUUAAGGAGUGCUUGGAGCUGGAGGUGUCUCGUGGAAUGGGCAACUACAGCUCAGUCGCUAGCAGCGCAAACAGUCUCAGUGAAAUGAGCGCUGAGUUGCGUAGUGAUGCCCAAGGAAGUCAUCUAUGAAGGCUGUAAGCACUGGCUUCGUGUGAGAAAAUGGGGGUGCGUUUUCCAAAUGGAGCGAGACAUAUUAGCAUAUUGCAACUUAUCAACAACUCAUGCAAUAAUCGUUUAAACUGAGGGAAAAAGUUGAGCACAGACGUUAAAACAAAGGAAAUCAAGAAUCCACAACCUCUGCUCUAUCUUGAUGUGGUUUCCAGAUGUCUAAAAAAGUUCUAUGUGAGUAGUUUCUCUUUAUUACACUUACUGUUACCGAGAGGCAGUGACGAAAAUAAAUACUACGGUGUGAUACUUCAAGUUGAACAAAUCCAUGUUAUAACAAGGAUCCUUCUAAAUGAAUCUGGCAUAGCAUUGCGAACAGUGGUAAACAGAGAGGAUUCCUUAUCUGAAGUUACUCGCAUUUUUUUAUUAAUCAGAAGCUUGUUAUAUGUCUCUUUCUGUAGAGCAGUUUAGAGUCUGAAAUUCAUUUUCAUUUCCUUAUCAUUAUCGAUGCGGUUUCUCAGUUCAUCCUUAACGACAUACUCCCUUCACUACAUGGACAGCUAGAACGCACUCAAAUCUCUACAACAGAAAUAGUAUUUCUGACACAAACUUUGCUCAGUAGUACAAUGCAAAAUUGAACCUAAACAAAUAUCGGUUAGUCAGCUUAAUCGUCAAGAUCUGACCUGCUUCAAGGCCGAAGCACCGGCAUUUUUUGCGAGGGGGAGGAACCCUGAUGGUUAGCGCACGUCUUUAAUUUGUAGCAGAGCAGGACUCACCGGCCAUGGCGAUGGUGACGGCAGUUGAUGGAUCCGGUUGAACCACGCGCCCGUGGUCUUGUUGGGGUAGGCGACGGGAGGGGGAGGCGGACGCCCCGGGCGGCAACGGGGAGAAGCACCGGCGAGCGGCUGAGCGGCUGAGCGUGGGCAGGAGGAACAAGCGUUCAGAGAUGGGCCGAGAAAACUGCCCGGUCGAGAGAGCAUGUUGCUACAUUCUCGGCCGGCCCGCCGUAUCUUUGCUCGGCCCAAAAUCUUCCGUCUUAUCUGCACCUUCGGGCCCACUAGUUUUCCACGCGUUUAGCAGCUGGGCCCUGGUCUCGGGCUCUCGAGGUCAAACAAGCCGCCAUAGCAGUGGAAAAAAAAAGCAGUGGACCAGGGUCCGAGGACCAACAAAUGCAAUCCAGCUCGGUCGGUUGCUUCCGCUCGUCCAUAUGGCCUGGUUGUCUUCGCAGCUCAUCUGAGUUCACACCCCGAUCUAAGCUUGUGGGCGCAGCAUUCGGCAUUGGAUUAGGAGUCCCACCGGCUAACGAUACAUCGUGUUAAUGUUUUUUUAACUAGAGCAUGGAUGAUAAGGGGUCCUUUGGAACAAAGGAUUCCUGCUCCUCCGUCCAACAAAGGAUGUUUUAACAUUGUCCAAAUUUGAAUGCAUCUAUACACUAAGGUAGUGUUUGGUUCCAGAGUGACGUGGAAUGGAAUGGAACGGAACGGUUUGGUUGAAGGGAUGGAAUGGCUGUGGAUUUUGUUUGGUUGAGAAGAUGGAACGGAGUGGAAUCGUCGGUCGUUCUCGCUUCACGUUUUUCUUCACUGUCCGCUUCUUCCUCCUCUGGAGUAUGGAGCAUGUGUCGCUGCUCAAGAAAUCAAGAAAAUCGACUCCGUUCAAGACUUCAUGCUCCACUAACGAGAUCACAACUCCUCAAUUUUCCAAUUUCGUGUUUCAUUUCGACUGUAAUUCGGCUAUUGUCCGAGAGCCUUCUGCAUCUCAGCCGGACCGUGAGGUGAACGGGCACUUUUGGAGGACAGCACGAGGAGGUCCCCCACGGUGAUAUUUAUCCCUCCACUGCUCCUCCUUCGCGCCGGGCCGCCGCCGUCCUGCCAGCGUCCUCCCGCGCUGCUGCCAUCGCCCCGUGCCGCCGCUGCUCCGCCUCCAAAGCCGUCGUGCCCCCUUUGCCCCAUGUCGCCGUCCCGCCGUCGUCCCGCACCGCCUCCGUUGACCUGUGCCGCCGCGCCCUGCCGUCGCGCUGCCUUCCCUCUACAACCGUCGCGCUGCCUUCCCUCGUGUCGCCGACGUGCCAGACGUGCGAGCGCGAGAGAGCGCGUGCGGGAGGACAAGGACGGGCCCCACCAAUUCCACACGGAACCAGAUGAUUCCUCCAAAUAUGAGGAAUCGGUUCGUUCCGCAUCUCUUUGGAAUAUUCCAAUUUUUGGAACUAUAUGGUUCCAUUCUGAUUUGUCAUAUUCUACAAACCAAACGUUGGAACCAUCUUGAAAACUGGAACCAUUCUACUUCGUUCCACUUCAUUCUCUCAUCCAAACACAGCCUAAGUAUGUCUAGAUACAUCCAAAUUUUAACAAACUUGAAACAUUUUUUGUUGGACGGAGGGAGUAUAAGAUUUCUAAGGGAAAAGAAUUCCUUUAUCAAACGAUGGCAUGGAUGGUUGUGCUCACGGUUACAUACUAACCAAUAAGAUCAUAUCCAUGUCACUGAUUAUAUUUGUGUACUCCCUGCUUAUCAUAUUAAGUGAUUCAAAUUUGCCAAAAUAUAAACAUAUCUAUAUACUAAAAUACGUUGACAUGCAUGUAAUAUUUCGGCACUUAAUAUGUGACGGAGGGAGUAUUAGUCUUGUUUACUUUAUAGGAUGUUGCCAAUUACUGCUAUUUUGGUUCCUGCAUUUCAAAUGGUUUUUCUAUCCCAAUCCUAUGUUUUCAAUUCCCAUAAGAUUUCAGAUGCAUGUCAUGCUAAUUCCUGUAUUUUUUCUAUUCCUGUGUUUUUACUAUACUGCGUUCCAAACGGAGCCUAAUUCGAUCUAUCCCUUGUUCAAGAACAGUAACAAGAUAAUUUAAAAGUACGCUGCAGCUAAUUGUGUUCCUCGGGAACGCGAGGAUCUCGUGGGAAUUCCUUUUCUUGCGCCGGUGGUGGUAUCUCACCAGAAGUUUAGCCAGAAGAUGAAGCAAUGCACACCGAUAUGAUGGUCAAGAUUGACCGAAUUCCUUUAUCAAACCUACAUACCCACGACGUGUCGGGCAACCGCGCGCGUAGCACGUACGAUGCACGGCUCUUUUUGGCGCUCUGCUCACGGGGAUCACGCCGAUUAUUUCUCGCGAUCACACACACCACAACCACAAUCAUAUCAUACGGGCAUGCACAGGAGAAGCAGCGCCAGCUAGCGUUCUUGGCGAUUAGACUUUAGCGGGUUUAAUUAGCUAGCUUAGCCCCUGUCACGUCCGAUCGCCAGUCUCAUGACCCAUGCACAUGAUGUGAUCUUGCUGCCUGUAUUGCAAGCCGUCCAGAUUAAGGUGCAACUAAGCAACGUAACGUCCUUCUCGCGCAUUCACGUUUUCACGGCAAACGACCAUGACCCUGGCCCGGCACGUAGUGGCGUGUAGUCGCACGGAUGACGGAUGUUCCUUAGAACGGGCAAAGAGAAAGUUUUGUGGGCUCACUCAUGCUUGGCGGUGGACCUAACGUGCACCUUCAAAGAGGGCUCGAAAUUAAGUUCCCGUUUUACUGUCCUAAAUCCCAUCAAUUUGAGAUAAACCAAUUCGGUUUCUCAUGGAAACCGGGGAAGAGAAUUAACAACAAACCGUGGUCCAGAUGCAAAAUGGCUACUGCAAGCGAAGGAAUUUGUUGAUCAAUGGGAUCGAUCGGACUAGUGGUACGUACGUGUGGCGGUGCUCCUGUGGGGAAAUUUAGAUAGAGCAUCACAAGCUCGGAGUGAGCAGUCCACAUUGAUGGCGCCAUUAAUUCACUCACAUGUCCACACCUACCCCUCGGCGCCACACCUGGCCAUGCCGCAUUUCAGCUCAUCGCCCCCUUUCCCCCUUUCCGCUUUCGCUCAUCUGAGCCUGCCUUGUGGGCCGCCACGCAAGCCCUUCGCCUCUCCCGUGAAUCCGGGAGCGAGUGAACCAGGCCACCUAUAUAGCCGGCAGAGGAGGCUACGCGUCGCCCAGGACUGGACACCGGCCGUCGGAUGAGCUGAGCCUGGGGGGUCGACGACGACGAUGGCGUCGCCGCUGGGCAACGGAGAGCUGGCUGCUUCGGAGAGGAGGAAGGCGGCGGCGGCCGCGGGGAGGAGGCUGGCGGCGCUGCUGCUGCUCCUGCGGGUGGCGGCGCUGUGCUUCGCGCUGGCGGCGGCGGCGUUCGCGGCGACGGACGGCGCCGCGCUGCGGGGCAGCGCGGCGUUCCGGUUCCUGCUGGCGGCGAACGCCAUCGUGGCCGCGUACUCGGCGUUCGAGGUGGCCGCGGCGGCCUUCGAGCUCGCCCGCGCCGCCACGCUGCUCCCGGAGGCCUUGCAGCUCUGGUUCGACUUCGGCCACGACCAGGUACAUAAUUCCAUCGAAUGGAAUCAACCGAUUUGACUCCCUCUCGCUGCUCAGCUCAACGGCGCCCCCAAAUUUGCCCCCGUCCCCUUGUUUGAUGAUCACAAUUCGCACGAACGAUCAAGUUUAAUUUUGGGGCUGGUCGAUGAUGAGAGAGCAUGCAAUUGCAGGGAUUCGGGUACAUGGCGUUGGCGGCGGCGGCGGCGGCGGCGGCGGGGCGUGGAGCGGCGGCGGCGGCGUGCAGCGGGACGAUGGCGUGCCUGCAGGCGGACAUCGCGGUGGGGCUCGGGUUCGCGGCGUUCGCCUUCCUGGCGCUGGCGGCGCUCUUGUCGGGGUUCCGGCUCGCACGCUUCCUUCUCACCGGCUCCCGCCUCCCGGCCCCGGCUUCCCCUUCCUCCUCCGCGUAUUGAGCAGCCCAUUUUGGUAGCCGCCGGAUCGAGCAUAUAUAUACAUAGGCAUAGCAGUAGCGAGGCACGCGUGGUUCGGCAUGCACUGCUCUGAUAUCUUGGUUAUUCAGGGCUUCUGGUCUGGAGCGAUCAUCAGAUUCAGACAUAAUUUGCACUGUGCUUGCUGCCUGUCUGUAAUUGAGAGAGAAAGAGAGGAAGAAUCGCAGAGAUGGAUGUGUGUGUGAUGUGUUUGUAAGUAAGAGCGCCCGGGUUCAGGCGAUAUGAUAUAUAUGCAACGUGAUAUCAUUGAUAAGAGUGGCCAGAUUGUUAACUGUACCAACGAUUGAUAUGGAUGAUACUUACAGUUGCACUCCGUUAAUUUAUUUUAUUCGUUCGCUAUCUGAUGGAUCGAUACAAUCAAGGUUAACAGAGGCGACGAGAUCAUGGAUAAAACUAGAUAUCCAUUGUGGUCUUUCGAAAUCAAUGUCUCCUUGAACAAUUGUGUUCUUUCGAAGUAAACGUCUCUAAAUCUAUCCUUGGCACCUUGACACCCCUUAAACUGUCACCAUUCAACCAGAAAUUUGGAGAAAUAUCAAGAUGCAAACAGACACUAGAGAAGUUGGUUUCAAGAUUUUUAUGUAACUUUCGGUUUAUCCAAAAUCUUUGUUGUCGUUUUAGUUUUUCCGAUCAAAUGUAAUUUAUUAGUUGAAUAAAUAAAGCCAGAUCGCUGUUUAAAAAAAAAACGAGCACCGAGCACGAGCGCCGUGCCAUGGCUUGGCGUAUAAAAUCCAGCCAUUCUUCUCAAUUCUCAUCUCAUUCCCACCACCCAGCUGACAAGCUCAACUAGCUUAAGGUAGUAGCCAUGGCCACGAACCUCGCCAUCGCCGCGUUCCUCCUGGCCACUACUCUCUUCUCCUCCUCGUCGUCGGCGGCGAGGGAGACCAUCCUGACCAUCCACAACCUGUGCCCUUACCCGGUGUGGCCGCUCUUCACCCCCGACAGCGGCUUCCCAGCCCUCUGCGACCGCGUCGUGCGCCUCGUCCCCAACGGGGUCAUCUCCGUCCGCUUCCCGGACACCCCCUGGUCCGGCCGCGUCACGACGCGCACCGGCUGCGACGGCACCGGCCGCCCGCGGCUGCACUGCGCCACCGGCUCCGCGCCGCCCUCCACCGUGGCGCAGCUCAUGGUCCAUUACGGCGGGGUGGAGGACCGGGCCGUGUACAGCGUUUCCCUCGUGGACGGCUUCAACGUGCCCAUGGUGAUCACCCCGCAGGGCGGCGGCGGCACCGGCCACUGGCUGUGCACGCCGAUGGGGUGCGCCGUCGACCUCAACCGGGACUGCCCGCCGGACCAGCGCGCCAGCGGGGGAGCGGCCUGCCGUGGGCCCCGGGGGUAUUUUAAGGCGCUGUGCCCGGAGGCGAGGACGACGCCAGGCGACAGGGACCCCGUGCCCCAGAGCUGCCGCGCGCCCGAGGAGCUCAAGAUCGUCCUCUGCCAGCCGACGCCGACGCAGCCGUAAAAUGCUAGUCCACGGCGCCGCCACCGGCCGUCGUGGAAGCCGACAGCUAGAACUCGUUCUCCUUUUCUGUUCCCUUCUGCUCGCUUAAUUUGCUGCACUGCACCGUCGCUGUUUUAUUUGGGCCUAGACUCUAGAGCUCUGGCUUCGGAGUCCCGGUGUACACAUCCUAAGCAUAUGAGUUGAGCCAAAUAAAACUCAAUUAAUUCAACUGCGACCUACGUGGCUGUGCCACCCACGUCAUCUACCCCCACCGUAGGAACCACAUAUUUCGGAGAGAGUAUUAGAGAAAGAUGAUUAACAAAAAGGUAAUAUUUGUGGCAGGCUUAUUAAUGCUUUUGUAUCAGACUUUUCUUUUCCUUUUAGACUUGAUCAGUACCAUUUUUUUUGUAUUUUCUUUGCUUCUCUUUGUCCUCUCUUCUUUUGUUGCUCAAAUUUUGAAAGUCGAAAUAAUUUACUCAUGAGACAUAUUUUAGUGAAUCACGGUACAUGUACAACAAAUGACGGUACAUUGAUCGUUUCGUAAUGUACCCAUCGGUACUAACGAGAGUACAUGGCAGUACUCAAAUCACAGAAUGAACAUCUACCAAAAGAAGAUGAAUACCUCUUCAAUACUUAGUUGUACGUGAUGGUACUCAAAUCAAAGUACAUCAACUCAUAAUUGUACGUCAUGUACCGAGAAAUAAAAACACAAACAUUCAUCAAAUCAUAGUAUCUCGUCAUGUACGAUUCCAUCAAAAUUUAGUACCUCAUGUGUAAAUAGUGUGUACAUCAACUCAUAAUUGUACAUCAUGGACCAGAAAAAUAUCACAGCUCAAACAUUCAUCAAAAAUUAGUAUCUCGUCAUGUAUCCAUGGUACAUGAUGGUACUCAAAAAUUACAUCACAAAUAUGAUAAAUACCUUAUCAAUUUGUGAUGCGAGUACAUCGAUCCACAACAGAAAUACAUAGAAAAAAGGAAAUACGCAGCAAACUACGAACUUUUCAGCUAGCUAGUAGACAAAAGCAAGUACCAAAUACUCAUGUACCAAAUAGACGUGAACAAGAAAAAUGCAAGUACCAGGUAUGUACAUCAUGUACUCAUCCCAAAUAGUAGCACAUACAUCAAAUUCACACCAGAAAAUCCAAAAGGGACGAGGAGGACGCGGGGCCUGGCGAGGGAGAGCACGAAAUGGAGGCCGAGCACCGGGAGCAGCAGCUCGCAGCAUGGGGAGCAGAAGCUCGCGGACCAGCACCUCACGGCACAUAGAGCAGCAUUACGUGGAGCAGCAGCUCGGCGGGAGCCCGUCCCGUGCCGGACGGGGACGGGAUGGAGGAGGAGGAGGAGGGGCCGUGAGCGCCGCAGCAACGGAGCCGGUCUCCCCUGCCAUGACACUUGGGCUCUUGCUGGACAAAGAAAGAAGAAAGGGAGGAAAGAGAAUAGAGAACAUAGAGAGACGAGAGAGAAACGGGAGAGGAAAAACGUGGGUGUCAGGGAUUAGCCAAAAGUGCAGAGAGAUUAAGAAGUGGAAGUGGACACAUAUGUGGACAACACGGUGGGUGUAGAUAAGUGGGGUGGUACCGGGAGGUUUGACGCGCUUUGCAACAUCGAUCUCUCGAAACGAAAUCUUGGAAUACUGAAUAUAAUUGAUUGCAGCGAGAUCUGACAGUCUUCUCUUCAGUUAUCUAAAAACAGUUCUUACUAAACUAGUAUGCAUAUAUAAUUUUCUACGUUGCAUGGAAAUUAAAAUGCGUAGCUAAUGCCAAAGCUGCUUGGAUUAUAUGCGCUAUCGGUCGUAUACGAUCUGAACUGUUUGUUUCAUAAGCCUAAAUGAGAUCCGAUAUGAUAGGCCAAAGACCAAAGUCGUCAGGAUCGUUUUUUUUAGAGGAACAGUCCAAAGGAUCUAAAGCAGUACGUCCGGUGAAAUUUGGGCCUUAGUUAAUUUGAAUGGGCUCGCGUAUUGGACAAAAUGUUCAAUUUUUUUUUGGAGAAAUCAGUCGAAUUCAAAGAUCCAGACCCUGCAAGCUUUCUGUCAUCAAAUCCUCAUUGUUCCCUAAAAAAAAAUCCUCAUUGAAAUUUUGACACUCUUCAUUUUUUUCAAUUGCUGGUCGGUCCUGCUUUCGAUGAACAGCAAAAAAUUAAAAGCAACAGUACAACUGCAAUCUGAAACUGGAAGGCCUAUUGUAGGAGAAUUUGUUAACUUUCCAUUAACUUGUUAACUGGAAUAAGAAACACCUGCAACAAGCUAGAAACACUUCCAGGAUGCUCAUCACUGGUAUGAUGGCUGGCAGUUUCCUUUUCUCAUCAAAGUAGCAAGAUUGAAGAACACGGCAUGUGUACGUGAAAGAAGUUUGGCACUUCAGCAACUUUGCUUCCCGGAAUACGCGGCAGGCGGGAGGGAAGGAUCGAUAAGAAUCUGGUGGGACAAGCUGACUGAAGUUGCGAAGAAAGACAUCACAUUGGCGUCAUAUGUGAUCUGGAACAUUUGGAAAGAGAGGAAAAGAAGGAUUUUGAAGGAAAAAAAUGUAUCGAUGCGAAACCUGUGUUUUUUUUCGUUCUGGUUGUCUUAUAAGUUGUAUGGUUUCCCUCUUCUUAAUGCAACGACAGAGCUCCUAUCUUUUCCUAAAAAAAAAACGGCACGACCAAAGUUAGCAAUAUAGUUGUAGAGAUGAUUUCUGACGGAAAUUAUCUGUUUUAGGCAGCAGCGCCCAUUGGAGAAGAUCCAGUUUGACAUGCAACUCAUGUAUCUCACUCAUACGGCCCAAUAUUAAAUCUCGCACGGCCCACUCCAUUGAGCUCCCACGGUCCAAAUGCAAAUCUAUAAGGCUUCAAAGCACCGGGCCCAGGAUUUACGGAGCUUCUCGAAGACGACUCUGCUCAUGCCAUGCCAUGGCAUCGCCUAUAAAACCAGCCAGUGGUCUUCUCUCUCAUCACAUCUCACUCGCACCACCCAAAGCUCAAUUAGCUCAAGGCAGCCAAAGCCCAAAGGCAGCCAUGGCCAUGAACCUCGCAACCGUCGCGUUCCUCCUGGCCAGCACUCUCUUCUCCGCCUCGUCGUCGGAGGCGACCACGCUGACCAUCCACAACCUGUGCCCUUACCCGGUGUGGCCGCUCAUCGUCCCCAACUCCGGCUCCGGCGCCACCAGCCCCUUCUUCGACAACUCCGCGCGCCUCGACCCCAACGCGCUCGUAUCCCUCUGCUUCCCGGACACCGUCUGGUCUGGCCGCGUCACCGCGCGCACCGGCUGCGACGGCUCCGGCGCGACCUGCGGCACGGGAGCCGCGCCACCCUCCACCGUGGCGCAGCUCACGGUCCACGGCGACCAGGACCUGGCCGUGUACAGCGUCUCCCUCGUGGACGGCUUCAACGUGCCCAUGGUGAUCAGCCCGCAGGGCGGCGGCGUCGGCCAGUGCCCGCAGCUCGGGUGCGCCUUCGACCUCAACCGGAACUGCCCGCCGGAGCAGAGCGCCAAUGGGGGAGCCGCCUGCCGCGGGCCCCCAGGGUAUUUCAAGGUGCUGUGCCCGCAGACGAGGACGACGCCGGGCGACAAGGAGCCCCUGCCGCAGAACUGCCACGCGCCCGGGGAGCUCAAGAUCGUCCUCUGCCAGCCCUUCAUGCUAUCCCACGGCGCCGCCGUGGAAGCCGAUAGCUAGACCUCGCUUCUGUUCUCUUCUAUUCUCUUCUGCUCGCUUAACUCGCUGUUCUGCACCGAAGCUGUUUGGGUUCGUCGUCUCGGUGUACGUAUGAGUUGAGCCAAAUAAAACUCAAUAAUUGAACUGGGAGCUACUCGCUUUGGAACAUACAGUAUCUUGAAACGAAAUCUUGGAAUACUGAAUCUUAAUUCAUUGCGAGUAUAUGUAUAUCCCACAAUGCAGAGAGAUCUGGCAGAGUUCUCUCUUCAGUUAUCUACAACAUUUCUUACCAAACUAAUUGAAAUUUCAGCAACAUAAUUUGACCGAGCUUUGCACGACAGUAAUUAUGUUUGCUCACUACAUACUAUUUGAAACAACAAUAUUGAGUCCAUGAACCAGGUACAGAGAUGACCAUCAAGAAUGUUACUUUGUCAGGCUUUUACCAUGCAAAAUGAGAUCCGAUAGGCCAAAGUCGUCAGAAUCUGAAACAGCAGGCACGUCAGGUUGAAAACUGGGCCUUAGUUGCUUUGAAUCCUCUCGCGUAUUAAUUGGAUAAAUGUUCUAAACAAAAGAAUUGGAGAAAUCAGUCGAAUUCGAAGCACCUCAUUAGAAAUCAGUUGAAAACUGCACCUUGGUUAAUUAGGGACCUCCUCUUUGACAGAUCCCGCACGGCCGCACCUGCAAGCUUUCUGUCCUCAUUGACAUUACAUUCAGUUUUUUCAUUGCUGGCCGUUCCUGCUUUCGAUAAACAGCAAAAAUUGCAACAGUACAACUGCAAUCUGAAACUGGAAAGCUAUUGUCGGAGAAUUUGUUAACUUUCCAUUAAUUUGUUAACUGGAAUAAGAAGCCACUGCAACAAGAAACACUUGCAGAAGGCUCAUCACUGAUAUAAUGCCUGGCAGUUUCAUUUUUCUCAUCAAAAUAGCAAGAUUAAAGAACACGGCAUGAUCAAAGCUAGCAAGCUACCUUGCUAUAGACAUAAUAUAUUUUUAAAACCAAUCACAUCACGUCGUACACAAGAUGGGAAGGAUUUACCUAAAACGAAGGAUUAGACAUCCAUUUUUCUAGUUGAUUUUUUUUCCGACAAAAGAGGUUGAAACCCUCUCCUCUGCAUUAAAAAGAUGCAAUUUUAUUACUGUAUUAGAAGAUUAGGAUUUACCUUAGAUCUUAGACUUCGGUCAGGACAAAAAAGAACGAAGACGUUCCUCUAGCCUUUUUUUUUAGAAAAAAACAAUCCUCUAGCCUUUUUUUUGUUGAGAAAAAUUCAUUCAUCUAGCUUUUUUUUUUAGCAAAGUCAUUCCUCUAGCUUUUAAUUAGAAUCACCUGUAAUUUAUUCAGAUUUGACAUCCAUUACGGUAUAAUAAUUUGGAUAAAAACCCAAAAGACUAUAAAUUAACUCUUAUAACUAAAAAUUACAUUGAAAACUUUCAAAUAAAUCUUCUUAAUGGUAUCAAUCUUCGCAAUUCCUCUAGCUUUUUUUUUAGAACAAGCAAUUGCUCUAGCGUUUUUUUUUUUGAGAGGCGCAAUUCCUCUAGCUAGCUGAUUUGGGCAACAGCGUCCACUGCAGAAGAACCCUUUGACAUGCAGCCCAUGCAUGUCUCUCCUUCUUAUGGUCCUAUACCAGAUCUCCCGGAGGCCCACUGCAUUGCGCUCUCUCCCACGGGCCGACCACGAAGAUUCAACGCACCCUUUUUUCUUCCAUCGGGCCCAGGAAUUACGGAGCUUGUCGAAGACGACUCUGCCAUGGCUUCGCGGCCUUCGUCUAUAAAAGCCAACCAUUCUUGUCAUCUCAUCCUCACCACCCAGCUCAAUUAGCUCAAGCCAUCAGGCAUCAGCCAUGGCCAUGGCCCUCGCAAUCGCCGGCGCGUUCCUCCUGGCCAGCACUCUCUUCUUCUCCUCCGCGUCAUCACCACGCUGACCAUCCAGAAACCUGUGUCCUUACCCAGUCUGGCCGCUCAUCACCCCCAACACCGGCCUCCCCGCCAUCUCCGACAACGCCGCGCGCCUCGACGCCGACGCGCACCUCUCCGCCCCCUUCCCGUCCAACGCCUGGGCCGGCCGCGUCACCGCGCGCACCGGCUGCGACGGCGCCGCCGCCAACUGCGGCACGGGCGCCGCGCCGCCCGCCACCGUGGCGCAGAUCCAGGUCCACAACGGAAGGAACGCGGACGAGGCCGGGUACAGCGUCUCCCUCAUCGAGGGCUUCAACGUGCCCAUGGUGAUGGUGAUCAGCCAUCUGGGCGGCGGCUCCGGGCUGUGCCCGCCGCUGGGCUGCGCCGUCGACCUCAACCUCAACUGCCCGCCGGAGCAGCGCGCCGCCAAGGGAGCCGCGUGCCGUGGCCCCCCGGGGUAUUUCAAGGACCGGUGCCCGCUGACGAGGACGACGGCACCGGACAAGGAGCCCAGGGCCCAGAGCUGCCGCGCGCCAGGGGAGCUCAAGAUCGUCCUCUGCCAGAAGACGGUGGACCCGUCCAUGCUCCAAGGCGCCGCCGCCGACAGGGUCAUGGCGCCGUCGUGGGAGACGACAGCUAGACCUCUCUUCUGUUCCCUUCUGCUCGCAUGUUUGGGUUUAGACUUUUGAGCUCUGGCUUCGUCGUCUGUACUCCCCGGUGUACGCCCUAAGCAUGUGAGUUAGGCCUGAAUAAUUGAACUGUGAGUUACUACUCACUUUGGAACACUCUCUAGAAAUGAAGUGAGUAGUAAUUAUGUUUUCUCACAUGGUACUAUUUGAAAGAAAAAAAUCUAAUGGGUGCAAAACUGCAAAAGCCAGGUUCAAUACUGAGUCCGUGAACCAGGUACAGAGAUGGCCAUCAAGAAUAUGACUUCAUCAAGCUGUUGACAUGCAUAUAAACUUUGCUUCGUCGUUGCAUAGUGUCGGGGGAUGACCCCGGGUAAGUUCAUGACGACACGCUCUAGCCGAGAUGACGAAAGUAAAACCGGCAUCGUAAAGCUAAGUUAACACUAAGCCGGCAUACCGGGUGUAUGCCGGCAUGACUAUAUUGUCUUAUGAAUUUGCAGGAUAAGGACGAGCUCCUUGAUCUCGGCCCGGGCCGAGAUCCUUCAACGGUCUUAUCCUGACCACGCAGCGCAAAGAAAAGCAGCGUCAUCAUUAUCACGAGAAAAGCAGUCGCCACUUACGUAGCGGUGCCAGGCGACUGCACAAAAGAAGCACCGAAAGAGAAUUUCUGACGGGAGCCGGCAGAGGUCAACAGUACUUGUUGCAGGAUGCCAGGGAAAGUAAAAUUGUCUUGUCCCCUGCGGUGCCACCCGGAGGGAACCAAGCCUCGUGCCCGGCAGGGCCCAAGGAAGAUGACGUUUGUACUCGGCCCACAUGUCAGCAAGUGACGAAUGCCGAGAGCGUGAGAAUGGCAUUCGCCGGAAGAUGGUGUGGCUGGAGGCCGAAGAAGUCUAAGAAAUUCCUAAGGAAAUCGCUGGCCGGGAGGGCAAAGCCGCGUUCAAAGUGAGCGAGAAACACUACAUGCUCACCAGGCUCCGGGGUCGGCACAGUCUCGUCGCUGGAAUCCGGCACUCCACGUCCUCCGGAAUCCGCCGGGAAUGGCGGAGCCACGCAACGUCCGCCAGGGAGACGUCGGAGCCCUCCCAGCCGGCUCGCUCCGAGCCCGUCCUCUCUUCCAUCUGCUGAGCAGCCAGUUUCGGGAAGAAGAAGCCAUGGUUGGGAGCAGAUCUAGGGUUUGCUGUUUUCGGUGAGAGGAUGCUCGCGCGAGGCUUGGGCCAGCAAGAAAGUGCGGCGGAGACUCAAGCGAGCGCGAGAGAGCUUGCGGCUGCGAGUUUGGUGGCGGAGAGCUAAAGACCGCGGCGGCGGAGGAGCUUCGGGCUGGCAGCAAUGGCGGAGUGCGCGGGGAGCAAAGAGGCAGAGGAAUGCGAGGAGGACGAGGAGUGUGAAGGGUUUUUACCCUCCCCCUCCCCCUUUACUUAUACCCGCGGUGCAGUAAACAGGGCGCGUAUCCCCCGCGCCCACGAUCCCAGUGGCCAACGGGAAGAACGCGCACGAUGUUGGGGCCGUUAACCCCAUUAAAGCGCACGCGCUCGAUUAUCGCAUGGCGUGGCGCCGAGAAUCCCGCAGGAUUCGGGAGGAUAAGUGUCUCUGUGGGAACAGAAAUUCCCCUCUUAAUGGCUCUGUCGGCUUUACUGCCCGACGGGACGACGCGCUCGCCUCAAAAAGCGCAGCGGCAGUAACUCGAGUCUUAUCCUCCCGUUAUUUUAUAGAAGCGCAGACUACAAGCAACAGAUGGCAUCAAUGUCGGCAGAAGGAAGUUUUCUACUGUCGGCCAUGGAGGAGAAAGGAAUCUCGGUCAAGGGCUGAUUAGGCAGGCCGACUCGGUAUGUCGGGUUAACUUGAUCUCGGCUAAGAGAACUCGGAGUUGUCUCGGCAUCCUCUUCGGCUGAACCCUUGUAGGCUUUGGUGGUUUGUCUAUGGAAAACUGUCGUGGCCCGACAUUCUUCCCUGCCGGACCGCAACAGCUUCGGAGACUAGUGUCGGGGGGAUGACCCCGGGUAGGGUCCUGACGACAUGCUCUAGCCGAGAUGACGAAGGCAAAGCCGGCAUGGUCAAGUAUGCCGACAUCGUAAAGCUAAGUUAACACUAAGCCGGCAUGACUAUCUUGUCUUAUGAACUUGCAGCAUAAGGACGAGCCCCUUAAUCUCGGCCCGGGCCGAGAUCCUUCAACGGUCUUAUCCUGACCACGCGGCACAAAGAAAAGCAGCGUCAUCAUUAUCGUGGGAAAACUAGUGGCCACUUAUGUAGCGGUGUCAGGCGACUGCACAAAAGAAGCACCGAAAGAGAAUUUCUGACGGGAGCCGGCAGAGGUCAAUAGUACUUGUUGCAUGAUGCCAGGAAAAGUAAAGUUGUCUUGUCUCCUGCGGUGCCACCCGGAGGGAACCAAGCCUCGUGCCCGGCGGGGCCCAAGGAAGGUGACGUUUGUACUCGGCCCACAUGUCAGUGUGACAUGGGAGGCCUAUAAAUAGAGCACCACCCCUCUGUGGAAAGAGAGGGCACUUAGUCGUCUAGGGUUUCCCCUUCUUCUUCUUCUUUUUUCUCAAGAAUACAACUCAAGGAGCGCCAUCGUAAGAGCUGGUCUAUCUCGGCUAAUAAAAAAAGUAGGAGUAGGAGUCUUACCUUGGCAAGAGGGCUCCGAACCUGGGUAAAUCGCGGUCUGCUUGUGUGUUUGUGCGAGUUUCCCUUCACGACCUCCCUCCUCCGGUUCCUCCUUCGUCCAUCGGCCCCAAGUUAAGCCAUCCUAUGGCAUCUGCCGUGACACCACCACGGCAGUUGGCGCCCACCAUGGGGCCAGCAGCGGUGCUGGCUAGAGUCUUCAUCCAGACGGGAAGUUUUCUUGCCACCGAGAGCGCGUGGUCUCCGGUUUGGUCCAGAGAUUCGGCUCUCUGGGCUUCAUCGACAACAACGCGGGCUGCUUCAACGACGCACCGCUUCCCUGCGCGGGCCGCUUCAUGAGGUUUAUGUUGCUACUGACAGCCCUGCAGGUACCCAGAGCAGGUGGUGGUGGUUGAAGACCCCCCCGCCGUUUGCACGGUUCCCGGCCGGCAUGUUGACUGCCCCGCUGACCGUGUGGAAGUCAUGGUGACGGCUCAUGGUGCCGAUGCUGGAAGGGACGCUGCGGGAAGUGGAGCGGUCCCAACCAAAUCCGGCAGAACGGCGAAGCUCCCCUUGGAGAAGCCGGAAAAUAUUGUUGCUCAAGCCGGCACGUCGGCCCUACCACCGAAGCGAACUCAGCUCCAGGCCUCCAUCGAACGGCUAACUGCACCGGUGGCGUCGAACACUAACCCGGCCUAGCUGCAGGCGGAGCUGGAGUUGGAGCGACAAAAACUGCUGAAGGAAGCUGUUGACGUCGCUCACGCGCGGGAACAACUUGAUAUUUUGCUCCGUGAGUAUAACAAAGCACAUGGUCUUAGUUCUACUGCGUUUACUAACCCUAGCCGAGUUGGGGAGGUGCGUAACCGUGGCAAGAACUUGAACGCCGAGAUGACUAGAGAUGGCAGGGGUGUGCCGGCAGUGUUAGCAAGUUUGCCUCGGCUGCUGAGGCUGCAGCCGAAGAGUUGCCGAAUCUUACAGGAGAGGCACUCCGGUAGCAUCAGCUGCACGUGAAAGAGCUGCUCCGCACAGCUAAUGAGCAGAAUGAGGCAUACAUGAGAAUGCACGGCAAGCCCGGUGCAUCUCAGGUUAUUCACUCGGCAGCAGAUGCUGGAGGCCGAGUUGACAAGCAAGUCUCUUCGCCUGGUGGCAAGCGAGACAAAAGUGUCAAUUCUGGCCGGGAUAAGCAGCUGGAGCGUUAUGACCCGGCCCUGGCCGAGAAACAGAUGAUCAGAAGGGUUGAUGACAGCUAGAGUGGCCUACGUCCCGGCGACAAUCGCCGAGACCAGCAAGAACGUUCCUCGUUUGAUCAUGGACACCGACCUCAGGGUCCGGCACCCAAUACUGCUGCAGGUCAGCAGGGUGUCGGGCGCAACCCCCCGUAUCGAGGUGAAGAUCGUCGGUAUGACCGUUACGAUGAUGGAUACUCGGCCAUGGGUGACGAGGGUUAAUAUCAGGCGAGAGCGUGAUAAUCUCGGCCCGCUCGGAGCCCGAGUUGGGAACAGGCAAGUGUUGCCCCUGGAUGCCCGACAUCGGCUUGACAUAAUUUAUCUGUCUGAGCUUCUGGAGGAGCAAGGCCCUCCAGGACCGCGUUGUUUUGCGCAUCGGAUCAUGAGGGAGAGACUAGCCUCGGGUUUCCAGCUGCCCAGGGUUACGAGAACAUAUGACGGCAGUACUAAGCCGGAAGAUUGGCUGGAAGACUAUGUCACUGCAGUAAGCGUGGCAGGCGGCAACCGCAGAUGGGCGGUACGUUAUGUACACCAGAUGCUGGUAGGGCCGGCAAGGAUAUGGCUGAGCAAUUUGCCGGAAGGCAGCAUCAAUUGCUGGAUAGACUUUGAAGAAGCUUUUGUCAGCAAUUUCACUAGCACUUACAAGAGGCCAAAUCGCCCUCAGCAGUUGUCCAUGUGCAAGCAAAGAGACAACGAGACUGACCGGGAUUACCUGACAAGAUGGAACAAUCUACGCAAUUCCUGUGAAGGGAUAGUGGAAUCGCAAGCCAUAGUGUGGUUUGCCCAAGGAUGCCGGCACGGCAGCAUGUUACGGCAAAAGCUGCAAAAAGAAAUGCCGGCUACCCUAUCUGAGAUGAUCCGGAUCGCCGACAUGUAUGCGCUUGGCGAUCCGACUUAGCCAUCGUUGAUGCCGGCAGAACCGCAAAGGGAGCAGCCAACAUACAAUCCUGCCGGGGUAUUCCGGAGGAAUGAUCAUCAAGAUCACCGCAACAAGAGAAGGGAUGACAGGGCGGAUUACCGAUAUGGGCCAGCCCAUGUCACCGCUAUUCAGGAUCAACCUGAUGCCGGUUCCAGCCAACGUCAGAAAACAGGAAAUCAGCAGUGGGUCAAGAAGGGAGAACAAGAUAUCCCGGGAUAUGCCGGAAGAAAUGAGUACAAGGAGUGUCACCAAAACUACAUGAUCUUCAUCACUGAGCCGACUGACAAGCAAAGUCAGCACAGGCGAGAGAUGGAGGUCAAUGCUGUAAUGCCGGUUGUUCCGAAGUUCAUGUACUGGUCGGAGCAAGAGAUCAACUGGAGCCGAGCAGACCAUCCCAAGGUUAUGCCCAACCCCGGUGGAUACGCUUUGGUGGUUGACCCGACACUCAUCGGGCCCGACAUUAACGUCAAGUUCACUCGGGUUCUCAUUGAUAAUGGGAGCAGCAUAAAUAUCUUGUACCGGGACACGAUAAUUAAACUCGGCAUUACUGAUAACAUGCUUGAGCCUAGCCGUACUACCUUUCACGGUAUUGUGCCGGGAGUGUCUUCUGCCCCGGUAGGCAAGAUCCGAGUCGACGUCCUAUUCGGCACCAGGGAGAACUGUCGGACCGAGAACCUAGUGUUCGAGGUGGUGGACCUUAGCAGUCCGUACACGCGCUGCUUGGAAGACCGGCACUCGCCAAGUUCAUGGCGACUACUCACAUUGGCUAUCUGAAGAUGAAGAUGCCGGGAUCAAAUGGUACCAAAACCAUCACUGGCAACUACAAACACUCAAUGGAGUGCGCAGCGGCUGGAUCUGCUUUGGCCGAGUCACUGGUCAUCGCUGGCGAGAAGAAGAAGUUACAAGAAGCUGUUGCAAUGGCUCAGGUGGCACAAAUUGGCCUGCCGGCUAUGACCAAUCCCCAUGGAAGUGUGGUUGUUCAGGCAGCCAAGGAGACAAAGAAGGUACAGGUUGACAGCGAGUUCUCGGACCGCACCGUCAUCAUUGGUGCCGACCUGGGUGAAAAAUAGGAAGGCGAGCUCACCAGCUUCCUCCGUGAGACUGGGGACAUCUUCGCAUGUUCAAAUUAAGACCUGCCGGGUGUGCCGAGGGAGUUGGCUGAGCACUCAUUACAUGUCAGACCAGAUGCAAGACAGGUGAAGCAGCCCCUUCGAUGCUUCGCCGAAGACAGAAGGAAAGUCAUAUCGGAAGAGAAAUCCCGUCUUCUAGCUGCCGGCUUUAUCACGGAUGUGUUGCAUCCUCACUGGCUAGCAAACCCGGUCAUGGUUGAGAAGAAGAAAGACGACCCAACUUCUGCCAAGGUGUGGCGCAUGUGUAUCGACUACACCAGCCUGAACAAGGCGUGUCCCAAAGAUCCUUUUCCGUUACCUCGGAUUGAUCAAGUGAUCGAUUCUAUAGCCGAGUGUGAGUUGCUGUCUUUUGUAGAUGCGUACUUUGGUUUUCACUAGACACUGUUGAACCCUAAUGAUCAAAUAAAGACAUCAUUUAUCACCCCGUUCGGGUCUUAUUGUUAUCGCACUAUGCCGUUUGGUUUGAGAAAUGCGGGGGCUUCUUAUCAAAGAUGCAUGCAGAACUGCUUGCACGACCAACUCAACAAAAAUGUGCAGGUAUAUGUCGACGAUGUCGUCAUAAAAACCAAGGAAAGCGCCACGCUUCUGGAUGAUAUCCGGGAAACAUUCGCAAAUCUGAGGAGAUUCCGGAUGAAGCUGAACCCGGCCAAAUGCACAUUCGGUGUGCCGGCAGGGAAGUUGCUUGGAUUCAUGGUAUCAAGCCGAGGUAUCGAAACAAAUCACGUGAAAAUUGCCACCAUAGAAAGAAUGAAACUGCCGAAAUGACUCAAAAAUGUACAAAAAUUCACUGGAUGCUUAGCAUCACUAAGUCGCUUCGUUAGUCGACUGGGUGAAAAGGCAAUGCCCUUAUACCAGCUGAUGAAGAAACCGUCAAAUUUAUGUGGACGCAACAGCCAGACGUGGCUUUUCAAGAGCCUGAAGAAGAUGAUUUCUACGGCACCAAUAUUAGCCUCGCCAAUGGAGAAGGAGCCAAUGCUGUUAUACAUAGCAACAACGAACCAAGUCGUUAGUGCCAUCAUCAUGGUGGAAAGAGAUGAAGAUGACAAAUCCGUGCAAAGGCCGGUAUAUUACUUGAGCGAGGUGCUAUCGUCGUCUAAGCAAAAUUACCCCCAUUACCAGAAAAUGGCGUAUGACGUGUAUAUGGCGGCAAAGAAACUGAAGCAUUACUUUGAGGCACAUCGGAUCCGAGUUAUAUGCAAGGCGCCCGUCUCGGAAAUCAUGAGUAAUAAAGACGCGAGCGGCUGGGUCACAAAGUGGGCUGUCGAGUUAGCACCCUAUGCACUGCAGUACGACAGACGGGAUGCCGUGAAAUCUUAGGCUCUAGCGGAUUUCUUGGUGGAUUGGGCCGAGAUGGUAGUCCGGCAAGCUUCCGGCAAUUGGGAUGCAUUGGAUGCCAAUAUGGCGCAAUACAUUUUCCAUGUUCAAAGAUCAGUGGCCACUUCGAAGGGCAUAUACCGCGGGCGGAGAACGAAGCAGCCGACACAUGGUCAAAACUCGGCUCAACACGACAGGCCAUUCCAGCUGGUGUGGCAUUGGAACAUUUACGCUAACCAUCCAUCAAGCCAUCGCCAAAGUCGGAGUCAAUCUUUAUCGCAGCGAGCUCUGAAGCUGACGUCACCCCCAUGAACAUUGACAGUGGCAGCGGUUCUGGUAACCCGGAGACUGAGCGCCUUAACUCGGCAGAAGCAAUGGCGGUUGAGCCAAUGGAGAUAGACGUACCGAAUGAGCCGAUUUUACCACUCGUCCCGUGCUGGCUUGGGCACAACCGAUAAUGUCCUACCUAAAAGAUAGGAGUCUCCCGGAAGAGGAGGUGUCGGCAAGGCAAAUUCAGAGAAGGGCGAAGGCGUACACCAUCAUCAAUGGCGAGUUAUACAAGAGGAGUGUCACUAAUGUACUACAACGAUGCGUUGAGCCGAAAGAAGGGCAAGAGAUACUCCAGGAUAUUCAUCAGGGAGUGUGUGGACAUCAUGCAUCUUCAAGAACGCUAGUGGGCAAGGCAUUCCGGCAUGGUUUCUACUGGCCAAAUGCACUACAGGAAGCAGAAGACAUAGCCAGGAAGUGCAACGGCUGCCAGAGGUAUGCCAGCAAAAUUCAUAUGCCGGCAUCCGAACUCAAGACUAUUCCAAUCACUUGGCCGUUUGCGGUUUGGUGUUUGGAUAUGGUGGGACCUUUCAAGCGGGCGCGAGGAGGCAUGACGCAUAUCUUGGUCAUGGCCGACAAGUUCACCAAAUGGAUUGAGAUAAAGCCGAUCCGAAAGUGUGACGGCAAGACCGCGUUGUCAUUCCUGAAGGACAUCAUCUUGAGAUAUGGGUACCCGCACAGUGUUAUCACGCAUAAUGGAACGAACUUCGCGGAGGGACCUUUCGCGCGGUUUUGUGCGGAAAAGAAAAUCCGGCUGGAUAUCGCUUCUGUGGCACACCCUCAGUCCAACGGACAAGUUGAAAGGGCAAACGGUAUGGUUUUAGCCGGCAUAAAACCUCGGCUGAUUGAACCACUGGAACGUACUCCGGGAUGCUGGCUGGAUGAACUCCCAGCUGUGCUAUGGAGUCUCAGGACGACUCCCAAUCGCUCUACAGGCAAUAUGCCAUUCUUCCUCGUAUACGGGGCGGAAGCUGUCUUACCAGCCGACAUUGAACAUGACUCCCCGCAAGUGACCAUGUAUACCGAAGCCGAGGUAAAGGAGGCCCGAGAAAAUGAUGUUGACCUGCUCGAAGAAGCACGGGAGUUAGCUCUAUCUCGCUCGGCCAUCUAUCAAUAGUACCUAAGGCAUUAUCACAGCCGAAAGGUCAGUCCGCGAGUAUUCCGGGAAGGAGACCUCGUUCUCCGACUUGUGCAGCGCACAGCCGGCAUGCACAAACUGUCACCCCCAUGGAAAGGACCCUUCAUCGUGAGCAAAGCGCUUCACAAUGAUUCCUACUAUCUUAUAGAUGUGCAAGAUCCCAAGGCGAACAGGAUGGACCGAUCAGGCGAGGAGACCAAGAGGCCAUGGAACGUGGCUUUGCUUCGUCCGUUCUAUACUUGAGAGAUGAGUAUUUAUAUCGUUUUCUCCUUAUGUUGAAUGUUUUAAGACAAUGAAAUUGUUCUCCAGGUUCUCAAAAGGAACUUGGGGACUUCCAUGUUAUUUAAAUGAUGUGUUGCAAUUAUCUUUUGUAUUUCGGCAUGGCUUACUUGUGUAAUCUUAUGUCGCUUUAGUAGUGUGUCGGUCUCGAAAAUCCCCUCUAUGACUUCGCUGCUGUCCGCAACCCGGCUUCAUGGCAAGCUAGAGACGGUAUGAGAUAACCGAACACAUGAAAAGCGAUUGCGGAAACAAACAAAGAAGCGACCCGAAAUGUGCAUUGUCUUAACCCGGCAUUUCUUUUUUAACUCGGGUAUUGCUAACGAAUUCGUCGAACGCUGUCGUAGCACGGGGCUUUGCCACCGGGGAUGCACGGACACCCCCUUUUUGGUUCAGCAGUGGGCGACGGGGAUCGCUCCGGCGAUCGCCGGCGAGGCCAAUGCGAAGCGUGCCAACACACGAUGAACACGAGCGCGCGUUUUUACCCAAGUUCGAGCCAUCCGAAGGUGUAAAAUCCUAUGUCCUGCUUGUCUAAGCUAGUAUUGACAGGAGAACAAGUGUUUACAGGUUGCCGGGGGGAGCCCCCGGUUGCUCUCUUUUUGGCUAAGUGUCCUUUGAUACUUUGGGCUACUGCUAGCGUGGUACUACGAGUUGGUCCAGCGAACCCUUUGACCGUUGACGGGGGUCCUCCUUUUAUAGCCAAGGGGAUACCACAAGUGCCACGGUGCAUGGUCUACAAGUGGUGAGCAGGGAGCUCGGGCAGCUCCUCCUCAAUGUGCUGGCACAUGCAAGAGUAGUAGCCCUGUAACUAGGGGUCUAAAGGUCUAAAAACUACUCUUGAGCAGUCACUGUUUGCUUGACUUGAUGGGGAUUCCCCUUUCUGUCAGUUCAUUAAAUGCGCCGUGCGCCUCACUCCUUCUCCUGACGAACCCUGCACAUAGGGUGCCUGCCGUGCGCCCACGUGGCGUCGCUGUUCUGCUUGCUCAGUCCCGCUCUCGUAACGGAAACCUGCGCCCGGGAAUGCCCCUCCCGGCAAGUAGCUUCUCGGGAGGCUCCCAGGCGGGAAUUCUCCCCCGAAGCCCCACUAGUCCUGCCGGGCUGGUAGCUUGCCGGACAGCUUGUACACUAUUGCCCGGGGUGUGAUCCUCCUGGGGAGCAAGCGAGGCGACCCACGCGUCGUGCAGCGGUGGUACCCCGGGUGCCACUGGUGCGACAAACGCCGAUAAGGCAGACAAAAGAACCGGGGUCAUAAAAUUUCACUGAAAGGAAAAAUGUACUCGGGGAAUCGGUUGGGAAUUUGAUAAGCAAAAGACUUAUAUAAAUUAAAAAUAUGAUGUCUUACAAACAAAAGUAUGUUAACCCGGUUACAUAUGCACCUGGCAUUCCGGGGAUCUGAUAAUUUUCAAGUUCUUUUUGCUGACAUGACUAAGAAGAGAUGGAGGGAUUGUUGGCGCCAGAAUUCGGAGCAUCCGUGGCGUUGGACGCCGACUCGACGACAAUCUCUUCAUCGACUGCUUCUUCUUCGUCUUCGUCGGCCAUCUCGGCCUCUGCCUCGGAUGUCGGGCCCUCCACAAACUUAUGCACAUCGGCAUACUGAAUGAAGGAAUAGGCCCGCUCUUUGCCCUUGGCGAUCAACGCAGGAUCCGAGAGAUAGGGGGAUCCGACUCGCAUCGACUGCAGCAUUGAGGUGUCGUACCAAGAUAGUACGAACGACAACGCCUCGUCGGCGCCGACGCAUGCGGCUGACUCCCGCCAAUCAUUGAGGUGAUCCUCCACCUCGAGAAGCCACGUCGCCAGUUCCGGGAUGCCGGUCGGAGCCUCUUCUCUCUGCCAUAGAGCUCGGAAGGCCCGGAUGCCUGCGUUCAACAUAUUAACCCCGAACGACUUCAGAGGCUUUACCCGGCUAAAAAUGCUGACCAGAUAAUCCACUAAAUCAUAUUCGAAGGGGGUUGUUCCGGCUGGAUCCCUCUUCCUGCACACCUUGAUCAUGGCAGCUUGGGCGGUCUCGACUGAUUGUGGGAAUUUUUUUGACAAAAGCACAAAAAAUAGUAAUGAGUCUCGGCAUCCUGUUACUAUUACUCGGUGAUCAGAUGAAGAAAUUUGUGUCAGGGCAGCUUACUAGUCAGCAUAUUGUUGAUCUUGACGACCUCAUGCCGAACAACCUUAAGCAGCCGGGUCUUCUCAGUAUCCUCCUUCUCGGCGGCAGUGGCGCGGGUCUCGAUCUCGGCGACCAGACCCUUGCAUUUCUGCACCUCGCUCUCCAGGCAGAUCUUUUCAUCGGCCUGGGUAGAGAGGGCCGAGGUGAGUUGACCCACCUCAGUCUUAUGCGCCUCCGUCUGCGCCGUGACUUGUGCCUGCAGCCGGGCCACUUCCUUCCGAUGCUGCUCGGCUAGCCGAGUCUUCUCAUCUGUGUAGCAGACAUAUAUUACAGAAGCUAGAGUUUAAAGUGGAUGGAGCUUGAAUAAGGAUAGGAUGAUACCUUGGACUUUGGCGACGCGCUUCAGGAGCUCCGCCACUUGAGCAUUGUCCCCGGCUGUGAACAAGAGCACGUGUUAGGUUUCGCAACGCAUUGAUACUCGAACAAAGGUUUUAUGGCAGUAAAAUAUAUUUACUCUGGCUCUCGCGAUCGGCUUUCAAGGCCUCAUGCUCCGCCUCCAACUUCUUGUACUUUGCUAGCAAAGUCUUGAAGGUGGCGGUGCGCUUAUUUAUGCAGGACUGCAGAACGAUGAUUCACCGAUAAGUUUAUGCCAGUAAGAAGUCAACAACUAUUCGCUUCAGGCCGACUAUUCUAAACCCGGCCUGAAUCUCGGGGAAUAUGUGUUUUAAGUUUCUAAAGCUUCAGGCUGAUUAUUCUAAACCCGGCCUGAAUCUCGGGGAAUAAGGGUUUGAAGUUUCUAAACCUUCAGGCCAACUAUUCUAAACCCGGCCUGAAUUUCGGGGAAUAAGUGUUUGAAGUUUCUAAGUGUUGCAGACUGUUUGAAGUUUUAAGGGGAUAAGCUUCAGGCCGACUAAUUCUUACUCGCCCUAAACCUCGGGGACUAGGAGUAUGAAUACUAUACUGGAAUUAAAAGUAAAAUCUUUUAAGGAAUUCUUCGUGCCUCUGCAGAUCGGGUGGCCUCAAACAAGCCACCUUUGCUUGGUAUAUCCGGGCAGACACCGAUUCUGGAGUCGCUGCAGGUGGAGGUCCCACCAAGGGGCUUUGCCGCGCUGACUGGAGGGUGCUGGAGGUCAUCUCAUAGUUGUCGGCGCUGUUCCAGUCCAUUACGAACUGGCCCAGCGACCCCCAGCUGUGCCCGCUGGUCGUCCUGAGGGGAACUCCCUGGUGCCUCCGGGUAGGCUGCGGGUUGGAAGAAUCUGGAGGCGCUGAUCCCGCCGGGAUAGCAGAGCCCUUAGCCUUCUUGGCUUUUGCCACAGCAAGCUGAGUAGCUUCCGGCUGCGGUGGUGACGAUGGCGGCGUCAGAGUCGGCUGUGGUCCUUUGGGUUCUUGGGGCCCCGUUGCCGGUUGUUGUGGUGUCUCCGUGACCUGCGGCUCCAACGAAGUCUCAGCCGUUGCCGAGGAAGGAGCAGCACCGACUGCCGAGGUCCCGGCCGCGGGCAUCCCGGCUGGGACGUGUCGGAUCCGCAGCAGUCUUGGUCUCACCCCUGGCCUGGUUUGCAACCUCGGCGCGGGGAGAUGGAGCCGCCGGGAUCUCAGACACGAUACACGUCUGAGAUUGCGUGGCCGUCAUAGCCGCCCUGUAGAAGUAAAAGUUAGUCAUCUGCGUGACAAUAAAGAAGAAAACUGACAUCAAGGAUCGAGAUAGUGUUAGCCUUACCUGGCGAUCAGGGGUUUUGGCUUGGGUCCACGGCAAGCAGUCUUCUUCCGCUUAACAGUCUGCGGAAGAUCCUUCUCGGCGGCGCGCUUUGGGAUGGCGCGCCUCUCUCGGCCCGAUGCCUCAAUGGCAGCCGGACGCGACGUCUCCGCGGCAGCAGGCUCGUCCGAUUCGACUGUUCCCGGAACAGUGCAAGUGUAAGUAUCUUGAUGAGGAAUGUUCUAAGGAUUAUGAGAAGAUAACGGAGAUCCUUACAUUCGACGCGACGAGGGCCGGCAUGGGCUAUCGGCAUGUGGUUCUCUGAAUCCGGAUCCUCAUGAUCGAUGGUCCUGCGCGGGACCGCGAAGCGUUUGUCCAGGGAUUUCCCGUCUUCGUUGCUUUGACGGGCGAACCUCUGCACAAAAGAAUCAAGUGCCGCCGAGUUAUGUCUUAAUCAAAGUAAAGCCAGUAUAACCAUAUGUCGGAUGAGAAUAGAAGAUACAUAUAAACAAAAAACUUACCGGGGGCGCACGGUGCUUCUGGCUGUAUGCCGGCAUACCCCAGUUCCAGCGCUCCGGCAUGCUGGUCUUCGCAAUUGCUUUAACCCGGCGCCGGACUUCAACCUGGUCAAGCCGGACGGUCGACACCCGGUCCGGGUCGAACUGACGCCGUAGAAGCACAUUUUGUGUAACUGGCGCUGAAGUGGGCACAGCCACCGGUAUACAAAAGUCACCAAUAGAUCAUCGGUCGUCAUCCCCUCCUCCUUGAGCUCGAGGAUGCCGGCAUGGAUUUCGUUGAUCUCGGCGUUGGUCUCCUUCGGAUCGAACGUCCAGUUUUUCUUCUCCUCCGGCGGGCUGACUACAAAUUCCGGCAAGUUGAUCUUGUCAGCUUCGGAGGAGUUCUUGACGUAGAAGAAGGUCUUGAGCCAUUUUUUACAAGACUCAAGACCUUGAAUCCAGAGAAACACCAAACCCCGGCGAGGUAUGACAGUGGCGGCGCCGCACUGGGUCAUCGGCUUAGCGGCGCCAGGAUUUUCUUUGUCGGGAAGAACUUGGGGCCGGAACAUGAAGUACCUGGCCCACAAGUCUACGGAAGGCCAGAGGCCGAGAUAGGACUCACAGCAAGUGACGAAUACCGAGAGCGUGAGAAUGGCAUUCGCCAAAAGAUGGUGUGGCUGGAGGCCGAAAAAGUCUAAGAAAUUUCUAAGGAAAUCGCUGGCCGGGAGGGCAAAGCCGCGUUCAAAGUGAGCGAGAAACACUACAUGCUCACCAGGCUCCGGGGUCGGCACAGUCUCGUCGCGGGAAUCCGGCACUCCACGUCCUCCGGAAUCCGCCGAGAACGGCGGAGCCACGCAACGUCCGCCGGGGAGACGUCGGAGCUCUCCUAGCCGGCUCGCUCCAAGCCUGUCCUCUCUUCCAUCUGUUGAGCAGCAGAGUCGACGGCGGCGGGGUUUCGGGAAGAAGAACCCAUGGUUGGGAGCAGAUCUAGGGUUUGCUGUUUUCGGUGAGAGGAUGCUCGCGCGAGGCUCGGGCGAGCAAGGAAGUGCAGCAGAGACUCAAGCGAGCGCGAGAGAGCUUGCGGCUGCAAGUUCGGUGGCGGAGAGCUAAAGACCGCAGCGGCGGAGGACCUUCGGGCUGGCGGCAAUGGCGGAGUGCGCCGGGAGCAAAGAGGCAGAGGAAUGUGAGGAGGACGAGGAGUGUGAAGGGUUUUUACCCUCCCCCUCCCCCUUUACUUAUACGGGGACGUAUCAUGUGCAUCUAGAGGAUUUGUACAUCCGUGCAUCCGGCCAUACUCGACCAUCCGAUUAAAUCACAGGGACAACAGGGCAACCGAGACUAAUUUGCACUUGCACGCCCGCCUGGACAUGUUGACUCCUUGAAUAAACGCCCCCGUGCGAUCACUCCAAGCCAUCCAUGUUUGGGUAGACAGUGGAGGCUUCAUCCCAGAGACAAUAUGGUUAAAACGAGUAAAAUCUCAGAUGUUCAAGAACUCAUAUUUGAGACUGAGACCAUUCAUUAACCAGUCCUUCGCGGCGAGGCGAGUGCCUAUCGAUGCAUCAGGACGUACGAAGGACCAUAUCUCCUUCAUCGAAAUCUCUAGCCUGAAUAAGUGUUGAGAUCACAGGGCACCUAAUGCAACAUCGAUAACUUGUGGGGUGGGCAAUGGCUGGCCGAAGCCGAGGUACGGAAGUGCGUCCGCAUACCGGAUGUAUGUCGGCAUGACUAUCUUGUUUUAUGAAUUUGCAAGAUAAGGACGAGCCCCUUAAUCUCGGUCCGGGCCGAGAUCUUUCAACGGUUUUAUUCUGACCACGCGGCGCAAAGAAAAGCAGCGUCAUCAUUAUCACGGGAAAAGCAGUCGUCGUUUACGUAGCGGUGCCAGGCGACUGCACAAAAGAAGCACCGAAAGAGAAUAUCUGACAUGAGCCGGCAGAGGACAACAGUACUUGCUGCAGGAUGCCAGGGAAAGUAAAGUUGUCUUGUCUCCUGCGGUACCACCGGGAGGGAACCAAACCUCGUGCCUGGCGGGGCCCAAAAAAGGUGACGUUUGUACUCGGCCCACAUGUAAGUGUGACAUGGGCAGCCUAUAAAUAGAGCACUACCCCUCUGUGAAAAGAGAGGGCACUUAGUCGUUUAGCGUUUCCCCUUCUUUUCUUCUUCUUCUUCUUCCUCCUCCUCAAGAAUACAGCUCAAGGAGCACCGUUGUAAGAGUUGGUCUAUCUCGGCUAAUAAAAAAAACAGGAGUAGGAGUCUUUCUCGGCAAGAGGGUUCCGAACCUGAGUAAAUCGCGGUGUGCUUGUGUGUUUGUGCGUGUUUCCCUUCACGCCCUCUCUCCUCCGGUUGCUCUUUCGUCCAUCGGCCCCAAGUUAAGCCAUCCUAUGGCAUCUGUCGUGACACCACAAGCACCUGAAAACUGGGCCUAGUUAAUUUGAGUGAUGUCGUGUAUUGGAUAAAUAGUUCUAAAAGAGAGAAUUGGAGAAAUCAGUCGAAUUCAAAGCACCUUAUUAGAAACCAGUUGAAAACUGCGCUUUGUUAAUUAGCGACCUCCUCCAGACCAAGCCCCUGCAAGCUUUCUGUCCGCAUUGACAUUCCAUUCAGUUUUACCAUUUCUGGCCGUGCUUCCUUUCGACAAACAACAAAAAUUGCAACACUUCAAUAGUGCGAUCUGAAACUGGAAAGCCAAUUGUCAGAGAAUUUAUUAACUUUCCAUUCAUUUGUCAACUCGGCAUGAUCAAAAUAGCAGUUUCAAAGAACUUUUAGAUCCCUACUUUCUGGUCCGUUCAUCUGGCCCAUUAAGAUCCACAAUUUGGCCCAGUAUAUGCCUUUUGCGGUACUUUCUUGAGCUUUUUAAGGUAGGUUCAAAGUUUUUUUUAUUUAAAAAGCGGCUACGCAUCUUAGUGGCAGCAUUUUUCAGCCGAUAAGAAAGCUGCUGUGUUAAGCAAUUUACCGUUUCUCUAAAACAAGGAAUUUUUCAUGAAAAAUAGGCAUCAUAUAUUCAUAUCAUCUAAGAAAUGUGACAAGAAAUGAUGAUUGUGAAUAAAAGAAUUGCAUAAGUGCAUAUUACAUAACCAGGUCCAACUUUCAAAUUAAAGCCAGGAAUUUUUUAGGCCUAGCGGGAGAAAGUAACGCUAUUUUCCUCCCCAAUUUAGCGUUGUAGCACGAUUUAGCAAACUAUUAGCGGUACUAGUUUCUAUAAAAUGUUAAAAGUGCAUACUUUUAAUGGGAGUGGCCCGGAUCUACAGCUAUCCUAUAGCGCUGAGAUAGAUGAACAUGCUAUUUAAAAACUUUGGGUAGGCUUCCGCUAAACCUCCUCCGUUGAUCUAGAAUUUUUUUGACAAAAUGCCACACUUUUUUUGGAAUUUGCCACAAACGCACACGUUUUCCUGUCUUAGACAAGAUAAACACUUUUUUCUUUGGAACAUGGACAGAAUAGCAUUUUUUUACCCGCUUUUUCCAUCCGGACCCACAUGUCAGGACGAAAUUGCCCCUGCCCCUUCGCAUACUUGUGGUUUCAUGGAUUCCAAAAUAAGAGAAGAGGCAUCUUCAUUUUCAUGUCUUCCGUAGAGUUCAAUAUCCUAAAUAAAAGAGCUCAAUAUGUUCUCAAGUAAAAGUGAGUCCAUAUCUCACUACAAACAGACUAAGCACAAUACUCAUAAGUUCAAACAGAUUAAAUCACAAAAUAAGGAGAUCUCCAGAAACAGCGGAAUGCCAUAGCACAACGUGAGGCCAAAAUCCUCAUUGUCCAGUGCAUGCUGCAUAUUGCUCUGUUCUUCCUUUUUGGUGUAAUCUUCUUUGAAGCCGUCACAACAGGCCUAGGUGGAGAAAUAGGUGUUUCCGAAGCUCCGUCCAAUGCCAUUGCAACUUGCAAGAGCAAGUUGGCUGCGUAAUACACCAAUUUUAUCCAUAUAAAUAUAGCUAAUUGAAUAGAAGAAUUUGAAUAAAGCAUUAUUUUGUACCUCCUUGUGAUAGGACCAGGGAUGUCUUGUAUGACAGCCAGUGCAGAUAUGCCUCGAACAGGAGUUCCAAUAGCAACUUGGCUGCAUAAUCCAACAAUUAAUGUUUUGUAUGAAAAAUCUCGUGUAUCAAAAGAAAGCGAACAGAAUCAUCAAUCCUUUACCUCCUUGUGACAGGACCAGGACUGUUUUGUACAAUAGCCAAUGGAGUUGUGCCUCAAACAGGUGUUUUAAGAGCAACUUUACCGCAAAAUUUAACAAUGUUUUGGAUGCGACAAUGCAUCUCACUACCUCCUUGUGGCAGGACCGGGGCUUCUUUGUAUGAUAUCCAAUGAAGUUGUGUCUCGAGGGGGGCUGUUUUUUUAGGGAUCUAGGCUCUAGCUUUGUUUUGUUUUUUAAGGGGAAUCUGGGCUCUAGCUUUUUUUUCCUUUUGAGAGGAAGAUCAAGGCUCUAGCUGAUUUGGGCAGCAGCGCCCAUUGGAGAAGACCACGUUUAACAUGCAGCCCAUCGAUCUCCCUCUUUUGGUCCGAUACUAAAUCUCCCCACGGCCCACUGCAUUGCGCUCGCACGGGCCAACUUUAAAGUGCGUUGUUUCUUCAAACCACCGGCCCAGGAAUUAUACCAGACCCGGAAACUACAGAGCUUCUCAAAGACGACUCUGCCCCCACAUGGCUUCGCUUAUAAAAACCAGCCAGCCAUUCUACCCAGUCCCCACCAGCUCAAUUAGCUCAAGCCAUCAGCCAUGGCCAUGAACCGCGCCAUCGCCUGCGCGCUCCUCCUCGCCACUCUCUUCGCCUGCUCGUCGGCGACCACGCUGACCAUCCACAACCUGUGCCCGUACCCGGUGUGGCCGCUCAUCACCCCCAACACGGGCCUCCCCGCCAUCUCCGACAACGCCGCGCGCCUCGACACCAACGCGCUCCUCUCCGUCCGCUUCCCCUCCACCGCCUGGGCCGGCCGCGUCACCGCGCGCACCAGCUGCGACUCCGGCGGCGGCGGCGGCCCGCGUAACUGCGGCUCCGGCGCCGCGCCGCCCUCCACCGUGGCGCAGCUCCAGGUCCACCAAGGCGGGAGCGCGGACGCGGCCGGCUACAGCGUCUCCCUCGUCGACGGCUUCAACGUGCCCAUGGUGAUCAGCCCGCAGGGCGGCGGCUCCGGCCAGUGCCCGGCCCUGGGCUGCGCCGUCGACCUCAACUGCGACUGCGACCCCGACCAGCGCGCCGCCGAGGGAGCCGCGUGCCGUGGCCCCCCGGAGUACUUCAAGUCCCGGUGCAAGCUGACGAGGACGACUCCCACCGACGUUGAGCCCGUGCCGCAGAGCUGCCGCGCGCCAGGGGAGCUCAAGAUCGUCCUCUGCCAGACGUCCAUGCUAGCAGCCCACGGCGCCGCCGCCGACACGCUCGUCGGCACCGUCGUGGAAGCCGACAGCUAGACCUCUGUUCCUCUCUGUUCUGCUCGCUUCAUUCGCUGUACUGCAGUGCACCGUGGCUGUUUGUGUUUAGACUUUUGAGCUCUGGCUUCGUCGGUCUGUACUCUCGGUGUACGCCCUAAGCAUAUGGGUUAAGACAAAUAAUUGAACAGUGAGUUACUCACUUAAUUUGGAACAUCUCUUGAAACGAAAUCUUGAAAUGCUGCAUCUUAAUUGAUUGCAGGUAUGUCAUGCUCACGAUGCAGAGAGAUCUGACAGACUGUUGUCCAAAAACACUUACUGAACUAAUUGCAAUUUCAGCAACAUAAUUUGACCCCAGCUUUGCAUAGAAAUUAUGUUCGAUCGCGUACUCUUCGGAAAAUCAGAAGGGGAGCAAAAGCUAGAGUCAAUAUUGAGUCCAUGGUUCGUAAAAAAAAAAUACUAUUGAGUCCAUGAACCAGGUACAGAGAUGGGCAUUAUGACUUUAUCAAGCUUUUGGCAUGCGUAGAUGCUUUGCUUCGUUGCAUAGAAAAAUUAAAGUGCUUAGCUAAAGCCAAAGUUAGAUCCCAAGCCAAAGUGGUUAACUAAAGCCAAAGCUGCAUGGUUAUAUGCGCUUUCCAUCAACUACAAUCUGAAUUGUUUGUUUCAUAUGCCAAAAGUGAGAUGUCAGAGCCUAAAGUGGCACGUCGGGCUGAAACUGGGCCUUAGUUAAUUUGAAUGGUCUCGCGUAUUGGAUAAAUUGUUCUAAAAAAGUGAAUCGGAGAAAUAAGUCGAAUUUAAGGCACCUCAUUAGAAAUCAGAUUAGUAUUGGGCUUGGUUAAUGAGCGACAUCCCCGUUGACAGAUCCAGCCCUGCAAGCCUUUUGUCCUCAUUGCAAUUCCAUUAGAUGAGCGUUUUUCCGAUACCCUUAAAUUAAUUUGGUGCGUCCAUUGACUGAAAUCUAACGGGUACGGUUUAUUUGUACUCCAGCACAUGAUUAGGGAGUACCACUUUAGAAAAUUGAGGAGUAUCAAGUUUGGAGGGGUAUAAUUGUAAUCAUGGGUAAUUAGUUAGGCAAUUACGUAUAUGCAAUACGUGGAUCAAAUCUUCCUUUUUCGGGUAAAUACGUGGAUCAAUACAGCCAUUGGUAUCCAACAUCAAGACAUGCCCAGCUUGUUUAAACCUAAAGCGCCGGGAAUUGAGAAUUUCUCCGUUUCAGUUUUGCUCUUUCCGGUUUGCGCUCAUUCUUCCCAUCAUCAAACGUUUAUCGGGUUGUAUGCGUGAUCCUUCCUCGACUGAAACUAUCUAGAUCAAUCCAUUCUGUCAAAAAAAAAUCGAGAUCGAUCCUUAUCAACGAGUUAAAGGAUGAUGCCAAUUAUCGAGUUAAAGGAAGCUGCCAAUUAUCUAGAUCGAUCCUGAUUAACAUGUGAUUAGAUCGAUCCUAAUAACAUAUGAUUAGACAGUUGCGUCGAAAUUGUCGUGUUCGCGGGCGGCUCCCUGAUGAUCAGGGUGAAGACGACCAUGGAUGCUAAAGCAAAGAUCUCAGCAAUCAUGGCGCGGCAGCGGCGCGCUGCACCGGGAGGAAAUCCCUCAACUAGGAAUUGCAUGGGAGAGAUGGCAGCUGCGGAUGCAUCAACUGCGAUCAAGCGACAAGAAUCAUGCCUAAUCAAUUCGGAGUAAUUAAAUUCUGGAAUGUAUAGAUUAAAUUAGAUUCUUCAAAUAUUUACUAUCCUUUUCCCCACAACAAUCGGCCAGAGGGGGAUGAGAGAUGACCGUAGUCUAAAUUAGCAAGUGCAUUAUCUAAACAAAAAAACUAAAUUACCCUUUUAAAUGGAUGGCUAGAUUUGUCUGGUACUCCAACCAUCCUUAUGGAGUACCUAGGGUACUGUAAAAAUCCUCUCAGUUUUUCCAUUGCUGGCCAUUCCUGCUUUCGAUAAACUACAUAAGUUGCAACAGAACUGCAAUCUGAAACUGGAAAGCCUAUUGUCGGAGAAUUUUUUACCUUCCCAUUAAUUUGCCAACUGAAACAAGAGACAGUUGCAGAAAUCUCAUCACUGAUAUGGUGGCUGGCAGUUUCCUUUUCUCAUCAAAAUAGCAAGAGUAAAGAACACGGCAUGAUCAAAUCUAGCAAGCUACGUAACCAAUAGCAGUUUUCAAAAUAAAUAUGCCACCUUAUCCUUGCUACGGACAGAAUCAAUUUCUAACACCAACCACAUCACAUCAUAGGAAAGAGAGCAAUGAUGUACCACAGACGAAGGAUUGAACUUUCAUUUUUGCUAGUUGAUGCCUGAAAUACAUUUUCAUAUGCAUUUUCCUACAAUCAACCUUCUCGUGCUACAAAAAAGCAAGCAAAAGCUAGUGUGCCAUUUGGUUCAUGAGUUAUGACUGAUUUUGACUCUUUGCACAAUAGACUGCUCCCUCGGAUCCAUAAUAAUUGUCUCAGAUUUUGUAUUUAGUACAAAGUUGUACUAAAUUUGAGACACUUAUUAUGGAUGAGAGGGAAUACAAGAUAAAGAAUGACAAGUGGAUAAGGAUCACACCAUUAACUGUUAAGAGGAUAGAUAAUCUGAAAUAUGUCUUUGCAGGAUAGAUUUUACAUAUGCAUGGCUACAUGAUCUUAUGUAAGUGUGGCAUGUUUUCAUCUGAUGCGACAGUGCUCCACCUCCAACAUGAAUUUCUGGUAGAAAAAAACACAUAAAUUGUUAAUUAAGAUGACAACAUAGAACAAAGAAAAGACGUUGUUGGAGAGACGUGUUUGAGUCGCUGGAAUUUAUUCAGACUAAAAGGCAACACAUGGCAAUGACAUUAUAGACAGAACAACAACGCCAGCCUAAAACACCAAUUAAUGCUUUAUUUAUGUUUGUUUGGUGAUUUCUUCAGCCCUUUUUGGCAUCUUUUACCAACAAUCGAGCCCAAGUUCAUUGCAUCCUCUGUAAAAUCAAGACAAUAACUUCAUAAUUAGAUAUCCCUUAGUUACAUGAAUGUAAAGAAACAUCUAUAGGAAGUGUCUGCGUGCCUUCAGAGACAAAAUUAUUAUGCUAUCAAUCCCUCAAGUUCAUUACUGACAAAACAUAGUACUAUAUAUGAACAGUAGCUAAUUUAAGUUGGACUUUGAGUUGUACCCGCUAACACCAAGACAUCCGACUUUUGUUGUUUUCAGAUGUUCUAGUUCAGAUUCGUUUUGAAAUUUCACGACAAGAUUUUUUUGAUAUGUAUUGUAUCCAUGUUGUACAGAAGUCUUAGGUUUUCUUACAAGUUUUGUUAUGUGUUUCUUAAGCUUGGGCACACCUGGCCACAAAGCUUGGGGGCACAUGAUGAUAUCUCUUGCGAGUGACGACGGCUAGUAGGAGUGAUGAUAUCUCUUGGGGGCACAUGAUGCUAUCUCUUACUGGGCUGGGCUGUGCACUUGUACGUGGUGGCCCAGGUGCUACCACGACUUGACUCUAUUUCUUCUUCUUUUUCGCACGACUAUACUAGAGACUAUUCUCAAAAAAAAAGAGACUAUACUAGAGACUAGAACCAACGUGCUAUCUGCUAUGUGUCGAGCCAGGAGCCAUCCUUUUAUGCUGUUUUUACAGCCGUACACUCUAGGAGUACUACAGUAAAGAUCUGGCGCGUCAGGUGUUGCCACGGCUUUUUCAUAUCUCACUGCCGACAUGGUCGCCAAUCAGUACGCGAGAUUUCCUGCUUUAUGCAAGGAGGACAUAUGUCGACGGUCUGAGGUGACUGGGCUUAAAUUUUUGAAUGCUCUCGAACGUCGCGGCUUAAUUUUUGAAUGUCACUUCCGACAUGUCGACAGUGUGUCACCAACUGCGCAUCGAGAAAGUAACUAUAUUCGUUUACGCCUAAUCAAGUGCCACUGAUACGUGCAUACUGCAUCGGAAUGUCACAUCUAUUGUGCAGACGACUCGUUAUCGGCAUCAGCACGAUAUCCAAAGCUAUUGCUUUAUUUUCUUUCAAAAAGUUUUUGCUUUAUUAUUAAGAGCAUGUCCAGGAAAUUAUCCAUGCCGGCUAUAUUUUUUAGCUUGAUGGCAAAAAAAUUACUCCCUCUAUCCCAUAGUAUUAAGUGACGAGAUAUUGCAUGUGUUAAAUUUUUUUGGACGUAGAUACAUCACUUAAUAGAGCCAAAAAAUGUUGUUAGCUUGGGCCAAACAUGAUCUCAAUGCUGAUUCUAAGGAGUUAAUUAGAAACAAACAAAUCGAUCUGUCGCGGCAGGCUGUAUUUAUUUAUUCAAAAUCUAUCGAUGAGUUUGCCUGUGACUGAAGGUGUUAUCGCUCUGUCUCCUCUUUUUUCACCAGUCGAUCUGGCUCCUGUUAGCAAGGAAUUUGCUGGAGAUGUUUCUACUGUCUGUCUGCUAGUUAAACGGUAAAAUGUCGAAUGUCCUGCUAAACAUGGAUGCAGUAGAGAAAACCAGCAACGUUUAGUUCUUGAAAUGUUGUUGUUUUUCAGACACAAAAUGUUUUUUUGCUUCUUCUUGUAAAAUUACACAUGUACUUGAGCGCCAACACGCAUGCCUUAUUAAUUUACGGCUUUUUUAGAUACACUUGCUUACUAUUUAUUCAGGGUGCAGGUGUGUGGACAUAAAAUAAAAGGAGGAAACGAUGUUUUAGGAACCAGCAGACAUUCCCAGUCACUAAACAUAGGGGCAGGCUUUAAACUACUCAUGUUAUUGUUGAAAAACUUAACUCUAGCACUAGUCGGCAGGGAUUCGUGCUAGCCUGCGCCGAGGGCCGUGGUGGCACUAGGCCGUGUCGUUUCGUCCUUGACCGGCCGGUGGUAUCCAAUGCUUUGCAUGCCCCGGUGCCCCUGGCCCUGGCCCUGCCAUGAUCUUCGAGCUCAGCUGGGGCAGGGCAGGCUCAGGCAGUCAGGCUAGAUGCUCGGUCGGUCGGUCAGUGAUGUAGCUCAGAUCUCCAUGCUCAUCUAGAGAGUACCCGCAGAGCUGGUACCAAAGGAACAGUUUUCCUUUUGUUUACGCCGUUGCUGCGUACUUCCGUAUGUAUAAAAAAAAACAUUCCUUCCAUCCUAGACUUUUAUACAAAUUUAUUUUGGGAUGGAGUGAGCAUAAAAUUUGCGACAAGGACUGAGGGAGUACAAAAUUUGCGCUGACUUAACUUAGUACAAAAUGGACGGAAGGAGUAAUGUGGAACGGAUGACAAAUUUUUUGUAGAGAUGUCUGUAGCCUGCCGGAGGUACGCCUAGUUGAUUUUGAAGUGUUGAGUUCUGAAUUGUUUUAAAUAAAUUGAAGUGUAGAUGAAUCCUUACAAAAUCUCGUUUUGAUUUCGUCCAUGUAAAUGUGUAAUUACCACGUGUACAUGGAGAAGGGGAGACAGGAGAAGGGUACUGCAUGCCACGACUGUGGACUGUACACGAACCAUGCAUGCAUGCGUGCAGGAACAUGUGCACCCCCAUGAAUGCUCACAUUUGAAUGCUGAACGACCCCGCACCAAUGGAAAGUCAGGAACACACGUACACGGGGGACCCAUCCAUAGCACUAAAAAAUUGCACAGUACUAUAGUGAUAUUGUCUGAUUCGUGUGAAUCUCAAAGCAACGGUAGAUAUUUCAUCAGUUGGUCCCGGACCAGCAAUAAAAACGCUUCAAAUACUACACACACACGCAUGUUGCAACUUCACUCUUCACCUUGGAGUAAAAAAGAAAAAUCAACACUUUCGGAACGAAAAGAGCAACAUGUCGACGGUACGAGAGCUUGAUUGAAGCGGACGUACGCGGCUUACACUUUUGAAGCUGCGUACUCGUUCCAAACAAAAACAAAAAAAAGCAAGCCCGGGCUAACCCUUGGCUGGGCCUAUAAAUAGGCCCAAACCGCAAGCCCCUAAACCUCACCCAAUCUCAGUCAGUCUCCUCAUCUCUCUCACACACACACAUUUUCACCACCUCACUUGCCAGAGCAUCAACAAUGGCGUCCAUCUCGAAGCCCGUCCUGAUGCUGCUGCUCAUAGUCACAGCAGCGGCGGCCAUGGGCGGCGCGGCGGCGCAGGGCAGCCAGGCGACCUGCAACGGGCACAAGGUGACAGUGCAGAACCUGUGCGGGCACGACCUGAAGAUGGACGAGCUGACGCCGGUGGCGGACAGCAAGGUGCUGUUCCCGGCCGGGUGGGUGCUGCCAAACAACCAGCACGCCGAGUUCGCCGUGUGCGCCUGGACGGGCCGGCUGCGGGCCCCGGGCGCCGUGGAGGUGGACCUCCACCUGGGCCACGAAGGCGGGGCCUACUACUCCGUCAGCACGGCCCAGAACGGGAUGCCCGUCCGCGUCUCCGUCACCCCGCACGGCUCCCCGCUCCAGGGCCACUGCCCCACCGCCGGCUGCAACUCCGGCGGCCACUGCUUCGAGUACUCCGUCCCCGGGAACAAGUGCAGCGGCGUCACCGAGAUGAAGGUCGUCUACUACAGCCCCUAAGGCGUUCGAUCGGGCUUGUUUAAUUAGUGGAGUAAUCAAUAAGUUUGCAGCUCAAUCGUUCGUAUUAGUACUAGUUCAGAGUGAUUUGGAGCUGCAUGUGCCACUUGUUAUUGUACCGUCAGUGUCGUGUCGGAUUAAGCUAAAAAAAGUGUCAUGUCGGAUUAUUUGAAGUUCAACUGGCUUGUACGUACUGCUUACUACUUGUACGUACUACCGGAGAUGCAUGGGCUUAAUUAGUAGCCGUUGUGUGGAUGUCGUCACUCGUCAGCGUGGCCAACAAGUACUCAUCGAGAAAAUAAUUACUACGCGUUUACGCCUAAUCAAGUGCUACUAAUUCUAUCGGAGCUCCUGUUAGCACCAAGAAACAAUCUCCUGGAGAUGUUUUUAACUGUCUUAAAAUGUAAAAUGUUGUAUCAGAAACAUCAAAGCCACAAAAUGUCCUGCUAUUUAAACCUGAAUGUAGUACAAACUUAUGGCCUUUAUAAAAAAUAACAAAGUUUUAGUGCUUCAAAUGUUGUAUUCUAGGAGCACCAAAUAUUUUUAGUUUCCGUAUUAUAGAAAAAAUUCCUUCCUUUUCUUGUAAAUUUACACAUGGACUUGAGCUCCAACAUACAUAUGAUUAAUUUUUUUUUACGGGUUACUUUAAGAAUAUAUUUUACUGCUCUUUAUUCAGCAUGCAGACGUCGGCACAAAAAAGUAAAUGGAAAUGACGUUUUAGGAACCAGCAGAUAUUAUCCUCAGUCGACAAAUAUAGGGUAGGCUUAAACUAUACUCAUCAUACUAAUGUUGAAAAACUUAACUUGUCCGCAGAGUUUCGUGCUAGCCUGCCCGGCGGGCCGCGGUGCACUAGGCCGUGUCGUCUAGUCCUGCUCCGGCCGGUGGUAUCCUAUGCGAGCCCCGGUCUAUGAUCUUCGAGCUCAGCUGGGGCAGGGAAGGCCAGAGAAAAUUGCACAAACUACUCGUCGUUGUGAAUUUUGUUACGCAAAACUACCCGGUCUAUGGUUUAUGGCAAGGCCGAGAUGCCAUGUUGGCACUGAUUUGUGAGUUCCAUCUGUCAGAAACGUCGUUAACAUGAUAAAACUCAAAUUAACACUUAUGUACAACAGAUUAAGCGAAUAGCAGGCGUAUUACGCAAAAGAUAUGAAUAGUGCGUGUUUUUGGCGCAACAAGCCUCACGACGACGGUGGUUUGUGCGAUUUCGUCGGGAAGGCUCAGGCUAGAUGCUCGGCCGGUCAGUGCUGUAGCUCCGAUCUCCAUGCUCAUCUACAGAGUACGGCACCACUACUGCUCCUUCGUACGCGCAGGCCUGCUAACCAAGGAAAAAGAAAACGAUUUCCUUUUGUUUGCAUGCACAGCCGUUGCUGCCUACGAGAGUCCCUACCUAAUGUGCUUAAUUUGUUGUACCGAUGUCUGAAGCCUGCCCAGGAGAGAGGCCUAGAUGAUUUUGAAGUCUGGCUGAAGCUUUGAAAAUCUCGUUUUGAUUCCUGCCGUGUAAAUGUGCGUUACCACAUGUAUAUGGGAGAAGGGGAACAGCCAAACAGGCGUCGUGCAAUAAUUUCAAGAGGUAAACGUCCUUGCGUGCGACCCAUGCAUGCUCACAUUUGAAUCUAGACACACGUCGCAACUUCACUUUUCACUUUGCAGGUAAAAAGAUGCACACACACAUGCGCACUCUGGAAGUAUGCAUGGCACGGUGUGUACAGGGAUGCGUAAAAUGCAGCAUGCAGGCCACUACCGUUCACUGGACCACAAUGCACAACAACAAGCCACUCAAUUGGGCAGAGGGCUGGCCACCCACUCGAUCCAUGUGCCCGUAUGGCAACAGUAAUUAACAUGUCGCGUACAGUAGAAUAAUAAAAAGUGAGAGCAUAGUAUUCCCUCCGAACCUGGAGAGUCACGAACGCAUUUCAAAAUCAUCAAUUUAAAAACAUAUGAUUAAAAUAUUUAUUCGAUUACAAAUCAAAUGAUAUUUUUUUACGAAACAUAAUUUAUAUUUUGCUAAAUUUAUAAUUUAUAUCGAGACAGAGGGAGUAGUACGGACACGCGUUCCACAAGCUAGACCAACCAUAGGCUACACUACAACAAUCUUGAAGCUUCGUGUUAAGCCCUUGGGUGCGCCUAUAAAUAACCCCAAACCAUAGUCCCCUAAACCCCAUCCCAAUCCAGUCUUCUCAUCCCCUCUCUCUCACUCACACAAAGUCACUCACUCACUAGACAGUAGACACCAGCAAUGGCGUUCUCCAAGCCCCUUCUCCUGCUGCUGCUGAUAGCGGCGGCGGCCAUGAGCGCGGCGGCGCAGGGCGGCAGCCAGGCGACCUGCAACGGGCACAAGGUGACAGUGCAGAAUCUCUGCGGGCAGGAGCUGAGGAUGGAGUCGAUCCAGCCGGUGGCGGACAGCAAGGUGCUGUUCAACCCCGGUUGGGUUCUCCCCAACAACCAGCACGCGGAGUUCCCCGUGUGCGCGUGGACGGGCCGGCUCAAGGCCGUUGGGGCCGUGGAGGUGGACAUCCACCUGGGCCACGACGACGGGGCCUACUACAAGGUGAGCACGGCCCAGUCCGGGACGCGCUGCCGCGUCUCCGUCACCCCGCACGGCAAGCUCGCCGGCACCUGCCCCACCGCCGGGUGCGCCGCCGGCGGGAAGUGCUUCCAGCACGAGUCACCCAAGGGCGACUGCCGCGGCGUCACCGAGAUCAAGAUCGUCUACUACGCUGCCGUCUAGUUCAUUAGUUAUGUUUAGCCAAGCCCAAGCUAGCUGCGCGGCAGUGUUUCAAUAAGUCAGUUAGAGGAGUACUCCCUCCGUAGUUUGCUACUAGCUCGAUGAGUUGGGCUAGCUGGUUGUUGUAAUCUGUCGUGUGGUGUUUGGUGUCGGAAUUGUUGCCGGAGCAGUACUAUUUGCUUGCCGUGAUGCGUGGCUACCUCGCUUUGGUUAUGGAUAGAGGAUGUUCGUCAGCUGUGCUACCAAUUAAUCGUUCGUGUUUGAUUCAUGUUAAAUUUCCUAAAUGAUCGUCGUGGUUUUGGUUUAAAUUUGCAUCAAAACCACGACAGGAAUUUAGAAACGGAGGAAGCAGUUAUCUGAUUCCAAAAACCGACGGAAGGCCCGAGCGGUGCCAGUAAGGAAUGAAAUGACGAUCAAAGAAGAACUUGGCACGAAACGAAACGUUUUCCCGGUUCGAAACGGACCGGCCGGGACCGUGAAGGAACCUAGCUAGCAGAGCAGGGCGGAUUCCAUGGCAUAAUCCCUUUCUCUCCCUCUCUAUACAGUCACAGUGCGUCCUUAUCCGACCGCAUCGAUGGCCGGGAAAAGGCGGGCGCAGGGAAACCGGGAAAGCAAACAGAGAACGUGGGGCGUGGCAGGGACAGAGACGAGAUACGUACACGCUUGCCCGUACGGUGUACCUGUAAUUGCACUUUCAACGCUCUUUGGAUAGUUAUUUUGAAUAUGAUUUUGUUUAUACGUAACAUUCGUAUAAACUGCAAACUUGCUUAAUUUAUGCUAGGUGUGGCAUCUCAUACGUUCGGUUUUUUUUGUCAAAUACAUGCUUAAAUCUCUGUCGAAGUUUCACACGAUUAAGAUCUGUGUGACAUCGUCGCUCCCUCCUCUCCCACCGUUUACAUUAGGUUAAAUCCGAUGACCAAUCGACUCGGCUAAUGUCUAACUAAAAACAUGUGACUUCUCAACAACAAAGUUGUACAAUUUUAGAAAUGUUAAUGGCUGAUUUUAUUGCUUAGCAAAAUUCGUUAUGCGGACUCUACGGGGCUGACGGCACUACUAGCAAGAAGAUGCGCUGCUCUGUAGAUUAGGAGAAUGCUCAAAACACACCGACUCAAAAUUAAGACAGGUAAAAAAGGAGUCUUCAAAGGUAGCCGCUCCGAGGGCAAGAUUUACUUGAUUGCAAGUUGUAGAAAGGCAGCUCCUAUGCGUAGCAGAGAUUGUGCGUGGGACGGAAUUACCACUUCUCCUCUUAUCGACUCCGUCGAAAUAUUAAGAGAUAUGCAUACUUCGUAACGAAUACAUUUCCAUCGGAGUGAAAAGGGGCUAAAAAAUAUAUUUCCAUCGGAGUAUGGGGUAGCGUACGUGGUUUAACCUAGUGGCCACGAUUUUAAAAGCCGUGUACCGAGACACGACGAUCGAUCUCAACGAUCAGCAUACAAUUAAUCUUGAAGCAGCACGACGAGUUAGCAUUUUUUUUUUAAAAACUAGCCUGAUGUCGUGCUUUACAGUGUCAGGUUUAUCAGACGCAUCAGCAGCUAAUCGUGAAGCAUCCUCCUGCUGACCAAGCCCUAACCCAUCGGUGCGCCUAUAAAUACACCUUUAAUUGAAGCAACCGUGGGCCAAAACCAGAGACUAGUACUCACUCCCUCACUCCUUCCCCCGCCCACACCCUCGCAAAAUGGCCUUCUCCUUCUCGAAGCCUGUGGCGACGCUGCUGCUCGUGGCGGGGGCGCUGGCGGCGGCGGCGGCGGCGGCGGGGCAAGACAGCUGCGGCGGGCACAAGGUGACGGUCCAGAACCUGUGCGGGCACGACCUGAGGAUGGACAUCGAGCAGCUGGCCAACAGCAAGCUGCUGUACAGCCCCGGCUGGGUGCUCCGCAACGGGCAGCACGCCGAGUUCCCCGUGUGCGCGUGGACGGGC
rnacentral:lncRNA from 1 species